rnacentral:lncRNA from 1 species
ACUGCUGCUGCUGCUCUCGUGUCCGUCCUCGUGCUUCUUCUUCUUCUCCUUCUUUUUCUUCUUCUCUUCACCGUGGGCGGCGCCCUCGCCGCCGCCGACACCGGGGAUCUUCUGCUUGAUCUUGUCCACCAAGCCCUCCUUGUGUUCGCCCUCCUUGUGUUCCCCGCCGUGAUGCUGCUGCUGAUGGUGAACAUCAGUAGUGCCGACACCGGGGAUCUGCUGCUUGAUCUUGUCCACCAAGCCCUCCUUGUGUUCGCCGCCGUGAUACUGCUGCUGAUGGUGGACAUCAGUAGUGUGGUGGUCCCCACUAUGGUGCUCUCCCUUGUGCUUGUCCUCCUCCUUUUGCCCUCCUCCCAUGUGAAGGGCUUCUCCGAUCUUGUGAAUAACUCCUGACAUUUUCCCUUAAAAUGACUCUGUUCCUCUUCUUUUCUUUUCAAUGAAAAAUAGUUGUUUGCGAUCUUCUUCUGGUUGUUGUUGUUCUUGUUGGGUGAUCUUGGCUUGGUAUUUAUAGGCUCCAAAAGGAGGGACUAGAAUUAGGAUUAGAUUAUAGAUUAUUUUAAUACAUUUUAUGGCAAAUUCUGAUUUGGAAAGAUAAGAUUAUCCUUUUGGUUUUCCUUAUUUACCCUUUUGCACCCAUUACGUGUACGCGUCUUCGUGGGCUUUUUGGGUAUUUCAAUUAUAUCGCCAAUGCUAAAUCGACACGUUGCAUAUCAGCCGCGGUACUGCCGUAUGUAGUUGUCCAGAAAUCGAGUCGAUUCUCGAUCGUACAAUAAUUAAAUAAUAUUUCAUACGAAAUGAGUUUAGAUAUAUUUUGAAAAUUUAUUUUUAAUUUAAUUAUACGUGUUAUAUAUUUGUUAAUCGAAUAGAGGUCCCACGUAACAGAGUGUUUCUCUAAUCUUUCAUUGCUUUUAAUUAAUUUUACCCAAAUAAAAAAAAAAAGGAAAAUUUAGAGAGAGAGAGAGAGAUAGCGAAUUAGAAGUUGAUUGUAAUAUCGACACCUGUCAGACAAUCAAAUAUCGUUAGUUAAAAAUCAGUUGUCCAUAGUCAUGGUCAUAGAUGGCGAAAUUGAUACUUAUUUUAAAAAACAAAACAAAACAAAACGAAACGAAACUAAACUAACAGAUGUUGAAAUGCAGUUCCGUGUUAACAGUCUGUGAUGAAUCUUUAUCUUUGAGUAUACCAUUCAAGAAAUUAUCAUUCAAAAAUUUAUUUAAAGCAGCAGCAAAUCACCUUCUAAUUCCUGAAUCAAAUUAAUUCGAUUUUUUUCGAGUCGAUCAAUUCAUUAGAGAAUUAACGGGCUAAGUUAAAGUUUUGUUAGUUAUUUUUUUUUAUAUUCCUUUAGAUGAUAUGAUUGUCAUUGUCUUUCUUUCUCUGGGCAACAAUAAAUACAAGAUGUGCAAAAGCGUAGUGGAACAUAAUUCGAUUAUGGGUAAAGGGAUCAGUCCGCAUAAUGAGGAUAAAGUUUUUCUCUUUAAAAAAAUUUAACCCAAAGAAAAGGUCGUAGUUUGUAAUAGCCGACACGCAGAUAGAUCACAAAGCAUGGCGGUCCUGAUGGCAAUAACUAACUGAUAUCUUCUGCGAUGAGAGGAGAUCACGUGGUUCUGACACGUAUCGCCCCAUCAACUGAUGUUGUGGCUGCAAUCGCGGCCCAGUCUUUAGAGAGAAGAAAGAUCUGUUAUAACGGGACCUACUUUAGCAUCUAUUUACGACAAAGCCCCUAUUUACUCUACUUAGUAGUAAUAAUAGCAAGUGUCGGGCUUGGAUUCCGUGUUGCUUUAAAUAAAUAUCCGCGUAAAAAGAAAAUGCUUCUUUAAUCCCUUCCUUGUAAUUUUUCGACACGUGGAUGGUUGAAAUUAGCGUGCCGACAUCUUAGGAAUUUUAUCUUGGAGACGGGAACACUGCAGUAGGCAAUGCCAUUUUCUUCGGAUGGUGUGUGGUGACAACGCCUUGGAUUUUGACGUGCAAAGAAUUUAAAUUGAAAAAGAAAAAAAGAAAUUACCAGAAUAAGCAUAGAAGAGAUAUUUUUCUUUUUGUCCUUUUUGGAAUGGAAAAAGAGAUCAAGAGAUUGUUCCAGUAAGUAUUACACAUGUCACAGGCUUAUUCAUGCCCCAUUAUGGCAACUUUUAUGCCUCGCGGUGCCCUCGGUUCCAGCAUAAUAGCUAAGACUUCAAUUUUUCUAACAUAUUUUUGUUACAAAUAUGAACGGAGUAAAUGUAUAACUUUAAUCCUUUGAAUAAAGAAAUGGCGGUUCUCCUGCUCGUUAAUCUCACUUGAAUCCCACCCAGGCAAAAUUUCUUUAUUUUAUUUAACAACAAUUUAAAGAAAGAAACUUUUGCCAGGUUGAAUUUCAAGUGAGAUUCAUUCGUGGGAGAAGUGCCAUUUCUUUAUUCAAAAGAUUAUGGUAAUUACAACUUUCAAUUUCGACAUAAAUUAAAAUUAUAGGCUAUACAAUAAAAUUGCCCUAAAUUAGUCCUAAUCAAUUCAGAUUAUAAAUUUAGGUAUAUUUAUUAUUUUAAUAUAUUAAUGUUCUAUAUAUAUAUAUAUAUAUAUAUAUAUAUGUGUGUGUGUGUGUGUAUNNNNNNNNNNNNNNNNNNNNNNNNNNNNNNNNNNNNNNNNNNNNNNNNNNNNNNNNNNNNNNNNNNNNNNNNNNNNNNNNNNNNNNNNNNNNNNNNNNNNNNNNNNNNACAGCAGAAAAUAUUUGCUAUGGAUAAGGAGACAUGGUCCCACGUCCCACCGUCCCAAUGCAUAUUUUGUAUGUUUCCAUCUUUUCUGAAAUUUUAAUAAAUAAAGUUUUUUGACCACUUGGCCAAAGAACCUUACCCUUACACAACUUUGUGGUUGGAGUCCUGUGAUACAUGUAAGAACUUAUUUUUUUUCUUAAUUAUAAUAUUUUAGAAUAUAAUUAAGUGAAGUAGGUUUUUUUUUUAAAUAUGAGUAAAAUAGAUAUUUUUUAAAUAUUAAAGAGAGUAAAAUUUGAAUAAUAAUAUAUUAAAAUUAAUACAAACUAAUUUUAAUAAUUAUUUAAUUAUAAAUAUCAAUUAUAACAUCAUAUAAUAUCAAUUAUAAUAUCGUACAUCUCAAUUAAUUCAAUAAUAAUAAUAAUAAAUGUUUUUUGGGAUAAGUAAACAGUCGCAUGGCGACAAUAGUGGAUCUGGAUUAGAGUGAAGUGGUCCCAAGAGGCUGAGGCUGUGGCUGUGGAGUUCUAAAAGUCAAAAGCUCCACGCACUUUGUUUCAGUACCAUACACACUGAAAAAAUUUGCAUUUGCAAUGACGAAAACUUUUCACGAAAUCAAAACACCUCUAAACUAUUUUGUUAUCGAUAUUUAAUGGAGGGGUUUCCUACCUUUUUAACACUCGAUUCACGCCUUGACGCAUCUCACAGAAAACCUCAUGAUCCCAUUAAUCUUGCGUAACAUAUCUCAAAGCCAAUGCAAGUGAUCUUGUUGCCUACUUCCCUUUGACGAUUCAAAAUUGUUGAAAAUAAUUCUUUUUUUUUUUAACCUCAAGGAAGUGACAAAAUAUAAAAGAAUAUUUUCUACACAUUAAACAUCUAGAUUUUUUUUUCUUUUCUUUUUAGAGUACUUGCACAAACCGUUUCCAAGAGAGACCUUUUUUUUUUUUUUUUUUUUCCGGGCUUGGUUACUAAUUUGGUGUGAAUACUCUAUGGUGAAAAAGGAAUCACAAAGCUGUAAUCAAUUUUUUUGCAUCAUUUAGUUGUAACUUGAACAUUGGGAGGUUUAUAAAGAAUUAAAUUAAUUAUAAUGCCUCUACUAGGAAAAGUUCAGAGUAGCCCUUCACAACUUUUUAAAGGCUUAAUAAUUUUCGCUUUCUUCCUCUCAUAACAUAACAAAAAAUUAAGAGCUUUACUCGUACACGUCCUAUGGCUAUAUAGUAUUGGGUUCUCUACUUCAAUCGGCUAUCUCAAACCGAAGGUUAUUUGGACACACCAGCAGUCACGUUUGGAAACUCUCAAAUGCUUGGAUUGUAAUUCUUGUGGAUGAGAUCAUCUAAAUCUUGGGCCCAAGCCGGACAAUGGGUGGACAAAGAACCCUAAAAUACAGUAAAGCUUCUAACACCCCACUAAAACUCUUAAGAAAUCCUACCUUUUAUUUUUAUAUCUCUUUCUUUUAGAAAUUAUAGAGAAGACAUAGCAUUUUAAUUAUUUUCCCUGCCAUUGAAAAUAAAUUCUGUAAACAUAUUUUUUCAUAAUAAAAUUAUUGUUAUUAGAUAAUUUAUUUCUUCAUUGUUUCAAAAUUAUUAUAAUUUUAUCAACAAAAUUAGUUAUGUCAUAUAUUAGGAUUAAAAUUAAUUAGGAUCCAUAACUUGUAAAGACAUUUUAGUUUAAUUGAAUUCAUAUUUGUCAUUUUAUGUAAUUUUCAAUAAAAAUACGACUAUGAGUGCAAAAGUGGGAUGACAUAAUAUUAAAAGAGUGUGAAAUAAUCGGUAAUUGAAAUGGAUUGAAAUCAUAAUAGAGUAUGAAAAUCAGAAUAAAUUGUUUACUUUAGUUGUAGAAAUCAAAAUUAAAAUAAACCAUAUUAUCAUUGAUGUAUAUAUGUUUUCUUGUAAUCGAAAUGAAUUCUUAUAAGUUACUAUAAGACCCUUAUGGUGUGUUUACUAAUCAGAAAUCAGAAUGGAGUGGAAUUUGAAUAUAGAAUGGUAGGGGUAUUCGCGGAUCGGAUUUUACGGAUUGGACAUUAAUUCAUAUCCGAUCCAUAAUUUUACGGAUUAUAAAUUCUCAACACAAUCCAAAUCCAAUCUAUAUGUUUGCAGAUCGGAUGCGGAUUUGACUCAAUUCAUAUCCAAUCCACUAUUUGACGGAUUGAUUUUGGAAUUAAAAAUUUUUAAUUUUGUCCAAUCUAUGAGGUAAUUAAAUUUAAAAAUCUAAUAUAAAAAUAAUUUAUUAAAUAAAAAAUUAACGUAAAAAUAAUUUUACUACCAAUUAAAUUCAAAAUUGAACAAGAUUUAAAUAAAUUAAUUAUUUAAAUAAAACUAGAAUAAUUUAUUUAAAAUUUUUAAAUAUAACAUAUCGAAAAAAAAUUCAUUUGUUUAGAUUAAUAUAUGAAAAUUAACUAAAAUUAUGAAUUUAAAUGUUGAAAUUUGAGAGCUUGGAUGUAACAGGAAGAAAUUAAGAAACUUGAAGAACUUGAAAAGAAAGUAACAAAUUAAGCUUAACUACCUCUAAUGGUGAAGUGAAACAGUGAUGGUUUGUGCGUGCAAUGGGGUACAAAUUUGGCAUUAUAUGCCAAAAUAUUUUGUUUGGCUUUAGAAUUUUUAAUGUUUAGGAAGCUAUAUUUGUUUAUUUAAUUACUCAAAUAUUUAAUUAUUUUUUAUUUUAUGUUAUUAUUGAAUAAGAUAUAAUAUUGUGUUAAUUUAGCUAUACUUUAAUUAAUUAAUUAAUUUAUUAGUAAGUAGCAUUGCUACAUUUAUAAGUUUUAUUUUUUAUUAAAUAAAUACUUUUUUUUUUCAGAUUCACGAAUUUUUACGGAUUUACAGAAAUAAAUCCAUAUCUAAUCCAUCGACUGUGGUUUUUUAAAUUUUCAUUCCAAUCCGAUCUACCAAUCCACAAAUUAUAUUUUUACGGAUCGGACGAAUUGAGCGGAUCAAAUUGGGUUCUGAACACCCCUAGAGAAUGAGAAUCAAAAUAAAUUAUUUACUUUAGUUGUGUGAAUCGGAAUUGGAAUAAAUUGUACUGUCAUUGAUGUGUUUACUUUAUCUUGGAAUCAGAAUGAAUAAUUUCAAAUUACUAAACUGACCUUAAUUUUUUAUUGUAAUAAUAAUAGUAGUAGUAGUAGUAAUAGUAGUAAUUUUCUAUUAUUAUUAUUAUUUUCUCUCUCUUUUGUUUUUAUUUUUUUAUUUUUCUCUUCUUCUUCUCUUCCUCUUUUUUUAUUUUUCUCUAAUUCAUCGAUACUUCUUCUUCUUCUUUUUUCUUUCGUUUUUAUUUUUAAUUUUUCCCUUCUUUAUCGUUCCUUCUUCUCCGUCCAUUCUCUAUCUUCAAACUCUUUUUACUUUUUCUCUUAUUCUUCAUUACUUCUUCUCCCUUUUUUUUUUUUUUCUCUUCUUUAUUAAUUCUUCUUCUUCUGCGUCUAUUCUUCAUCUUCAAAUUAUCAAGUGAAAAAUACCCACGGUGCCUUACAAGAAGAAUUGGUUUUGUUUGCUUCAAUUAUUUUUUGUAUUUUGUACUUUUGAUUGUUUCAAAAGAGGAUAAACUUGUAAUAAUGCAAUUUAAGUAGGGAUGUUUUAGACAAUUUUGGGUAUGAGAGUCUAAUUCCCAACCCCCCACUCCCUCGUAGCAGACUCCCAUUCUUCAUUCCUAACUUGGUGUUGGACCUACUAAAAUAAAUCCCAUUCCCCUUCUUAUUUCAAGAAGCAAACACGAUUUUGAUUUCAAUUCCCCAAUCCGAAAGUAAACGCACAAAAAUUGUACCCAUAUGAGAUUGCUUAUCCUCGAGUUUUUAGAUUGAAAAAAAAAAAGGAAAAAAGAAUGGCCCCAUUAGGAAGGGAUUUUAAGUGUUAGAUAAAGCCGGUGUUAACCAUUAGAAGGUCUCCGACCUUCAACUGUAAUAUAUUAAACCCAGAUAAAUUUACAUAUAAAUCACACAAACCAACAUGCCAAUCAAAUAAAUUACAUCAACUAACAACAAUUGACACAUUAAUUUUCAUAAUACAGAGGAUGCAGAAAAUUAAAAUGUUUUAUCUUUUCUCCUUAUUUGUGAAUUGGAAAAUGAAAAUGUUAAACAUACAGAAGAGUGAAACAGGAUGGAUAUAUAUACACACACACACACACACAGCUUUGGAGUUCAAUGUCAUCGUAUUGCUCCAAGAAGAUUGGCGCCAUCAAGCUUUGCACCUUCCAGAUGCUGUUUAAUCAUCACCAUAACACCUUCAGUAGACAUUAAUACAUAAUAGAAACACAAAAUUCACAUGAUCUGAAUGUCUGGUCUAUUUUACUUACCGUAUCUCGAAGAUUUACGUGCCGUAAAUAAGCUCUUUGAAGGUUGGCACCCUUUAAAUUGGCAUUACGUAGCUUUGCACCCUGCCGCAUAAAUGUUCGAAGUUUCAACAAAUUAAAGUCUCCUGAGAAAUACAUGUCACGAAAAAGUAGGGCUGAAACUUGCAUCUAAUGUACAAGAUUCAAUCAGGGGUGCUUGUCCCACAGUGAAAGUGUAUGGGGGAAAGUGCACUUUCACAAACCAAAGGGGCAAGAUGUGAUUAUCACACGAUUACAAAAGGACUGUAGUCAAGAGAGAGAACUGAACAUGCAGCUUGUAUUGAGGCCAUGAAAAUUGAUGAAAAGCAGUAACAAGCAACCAUUUUGAAAACACUUCAUAUGGUCGAAUCAAUAAAUCAAAGCUAAAAUGAUGUUGACGAUCGAUAGCUUUUAGGUGAUAAGAGUCUUGGCACUACAGUUAAAAUUAUUAUCUAGGAGUGCACACAUUAAUAAAAAAAAACACAACCAAUAAGCAUGCACUCUUAAUCAGCAUAUAAAUUAACAAGUUAGUUGCACCUUAUGUUGUUCCACAAACAGAUUGCUCGAACAAUUCACAAUCUUACCUUCAAAUUAGCUCCUUCCAAAUUAGCUCCCUCUAGGUUGGCAUUAGUAAGAUCAGCAGUCUGAAAAGUCAAGAGGACAAACAGAUUGCAAUUUGAUUAAAAUCUCAAAGUAGCAACAUUCUGCAUGAAAGAAGAGCAGCACAAUUGGCAACAUACAUUUUAGAUUAAGAGGAUGGGAUAAAAGCAAAAUUACAAGGACAUGAAGCAAAUGAGCCAUGUUUAGUAUGGCAAUUUUGACCCAAUAAUUGUGGCAGGUCUUGGAGAUAACAUAGGCAUACACAUAAGGCAGAAGCAAAUACUGUCGCAAACUCCUAGCUAACUACAAAUGUUCCAUAUAGAAAAAAACACCUGCAAAAGUAAGGGAAAAAGCAACAGAUAAAGAACUCAAGAUGCUAGACCUGUAAGUGUGCAGAUCGCAGGUCUGCUCCACAGAAGCUGCAGUCUAUCAAGCAAGCAUCUGCAAUGAUUUAAGAUAAAUUUGAAUCCAAAUGACAUUUUACCGCAAGUAGUUCCAGCCAUUUUGGGAACAAACAAGAAAUGCUAUUUUGUAUUCAUUGUAAUUCCUUAAGCUAAAUAACAAUCAUGUGCUAUCUUAACCAAGGUACAGUUGCAAAUUCUGAAAUUGUGAUGCCAUAGGUUGUUCUUAAUCUUUUUGAACUGAAUAUUGAAAAAAUAUUCCUUCAAUCAUAAAUGUUAAAUAAUUAAAAGAACUGUGAGGGGGGNNNNNNNNNNNNNNNNNNNNNNNNNNNNNNNNNNNNNNNNNNNNNNNNNNNNNNNNNNNNNNNNNNNNNNNNNNNNNNNNNNNNNNNNNNNNNNNNNNNNNNNNNNNNNNNNNNGGGGGGGGGGGGGGGGGAAUGAAUAAGCGGAUGCAUACAGAAAAUUAUGGAAAAUCUGUUAUGGAAAUAAUAUGAAAAUGGGUAUGCAUAACUACAUACUGAAUCUUGACUAAUUUCAAUUUAAUUCAGAUAAGAAAUUCCAGUAUGGGAAUUGCCUUGUAAAUUUGCACUCUGAAGAUUUGCACCAGCUAGUAAAGCUCCACGAAGGUUUGCCCCAGCAAAUUCACAUCUUCCCUAGGCAAGAUAAAACCCUUAAAAGGCAAUUUUGAAAAAUACAUAUAAUUGGGAGAAUAUCCAGUAUUGCUUUGACUCUCUUACUCACGCAAAGUUGCAUUGUGAAAAAUGGAACCCUCAGCAUCCACAUCCUGUAUCAAGAACAGACAGAUUCAGUAUGAUUAAUAUAACUGGUUGCUGGAAGACAGGACAAAAUCGCAUCUUGUCACUGUCAACUUGCAUGUUAAGAAUUAAACACGAAAACUGCAUGCUGUCCAAUUAUAAGAAACCUAUAAAAUUCAAAUCAACAUCAAUACUGGCUUAAGGAAGAUAUAAAAAUAAAAAUUAUACCAACCCGAAAUUUCGCAGAUUGAAGAUUUGCACGUGAGAAGAAAACAUUUCUAAGACACGCAUAGCUGAAGUCCACAAGUGAAAGAUCCUGGCCAUUUUAAUAAGAUAGCAUCAGAGGAAACAAUAUCUAAUGAAUAUAUAAUGUUCUUUCUUGCUUAUCUGAGAAUACUAAUGAGAUUAUCAAAAAAACUCUAAGCUACUGCUAAGAAGUCUUGUGUUACAUGAGUAUGAAUUGAGGAGGUAAAGAAGACCCUUCUCCAAUAAGUUACCAUAGAAGCCACAUAAAACCCUAAAGCAGUUACAAACUUACAAUGACCAGAAUAAACCACCCCAACUAUCUAUUGGCAAGUAAAAUCACUUCUCUGGAUUUCUGAAAACUAGCAAAACAAAUGCAUAAAUUGGCAAAUUCGAUGAUUUCCUCUGAAAACCAAAUUAUAGCAGACAUAAAACUUGGAAGUAUUCAUAGAAUAAAAAUCUUUCAAGCACCUCAAUUCAGUAAUUAUUACCAGCUUAGAAAGAUCAAGGCCAGAAAGAUUAAGUCCUCGAAAUCUGACUUUUUCAGACUGUAUACACUUGAUGAUAUCAAUGCGUGUUAGCUCAGUAUCUAACUCAUUAUCUUCCUUUCUCUUAUUUAUGACAGCAUGGAUUCUCUCAAUUAGUCCCUGAAAUGAAACACAUUAGAUGCAAACUAUUAUUUGAAAAAAGAAAUACAUUUUAUCCACUAACACACAUGGAUUUCAACAGCAAUCAUACAAUAAUUGAGGAAGGACGGUCAUAUCAGACUCAUCUGCCAAGAUUCAAUAAGCACAUCAAACUUGUUUACAUGUAAUUUCCACAUUCCACGUGAAUUUAUAAGGUCUGCCUAAGCAAACCAAAGAAGGCUACACUCAGUACUGUGUGUAUACUGCCUUACCUUUGCUGUUCCCCAGAUACCGUCCUGCAAUCCAGAUACUUAGCUGUGAAGUUUCAAGCCAGCGAAACCAUUUUAAAAGUACACAUGGACACAGAUACCAUUAUCUGAAUCAUCUUCGAUAACAAAUUAAAAUGCCCUAGCGUUCAAAAAACUUAGGAUCUCUUUAAGUGAAGUUCCUUUAAAAAAGUAGAAAAAAACUGAACAACAAUGUCAUGCUAAUAAAAGGUAAAAAAAAUAAAAUAAAAUAAAGCAUAAGGACAGAAGUUCACCAGGAGCAUGCCAGUAUAAACCAAAACGACCACAAAUCUCAACCAUAAAAUUUAAAGUAGUAAAGUAAAUAAUCAAGGGCAUGCAGUUGGCACAGGUGCUUCCAAAUAAAAUGAUGAUUCUUUUCAAACAGAAAAAAGAAAUGGAUGUUAAUAAACUAGAAGAAACCAUGUCUUACAAGUAAUUGAUAAUAUUCUGCUUCCCGUAGAAGCUCUAAAAACUCUGACUCUGUUAAUGUGGGGACAGCCCCAUCCCUUAACCAAUUCAGAAUAUGCCGAAAAUGUUUUCCGUCCCUAUCAACAAAGAUAUAGCCCUGCAAUAAUUCAAUAUGCUCAAAGAUAAGAAUCUGAAUAAUAUACCCAAGAGAAGUGCUUUUCCCUGGAAUAAUAAAAAGAAAAUAAGUCAAAACGUUUUUCUUAAUGGAAGAACACAAAGGAACAGCUCUAUGACUAACAUGAAAACCAUAAAUCAGAAUAAGAACCCAAAACUGGUCAUUUGGAGUUUCACCAGAUCAAAAAGAUCACAUGGAAAUAAAAUUGUGAAAAUGGGAUUAUUUAUGCCGAGGUCAUGGCUAAACUGCAAUCAUUACUCCAUUUUUGGUAGAAGGAGAAGAAGAAAGAAGAGUAGGUGAGUCAUCAUUCUUUCAGGUGAGUCAUCAUUCUUUCUCUGUGAUUAAUUGAUAUGAUGGAAGUGUUGUAGAUAUUAAUUUGAUAGUGAUUCCUCCCUUCAAAAGAAUUCAUUCCUUUUUUUAUUAUUUCACAAAGUUUAACUAAGACUGAGUUUUCUCAAUUUGAAGGCAUCGUGCACUCUACCCCUUUCUUUUCCUCACAUUGCUUCUUCCCAAUCCCAAAGGGAAGAAAUCAAGAAACAAUUACAAUUUUUAACUAUUCACCAGCAAAAACAAGGCAAAGAAAGAUGCUGAGUGUAAGCAAAAAUAAGAGAGUUAUACACCUCAGAGUCUUGGCACACAGUAUGGCGACCGCUGAACAUAGCUGCAAGCAUAGAUUCAGGCUCACGACGAGUCAGAGUAUCAAUUGUUGUAUAAAAUUUCUUUCCCCCUGGAUAUUAAUACAUAAAAUAUAAAUUUGUUCACUUAAAAGCAUGAAUUGUGCAAAUUUGUCAAUAAUGUCAUUCUUUCACAAACGUUCACCGAAAUGUAUAACAAUAAGUGCAUCAUAACAUAACUAAACGGCUUAAGAACUGCGCAGAUAUUACAUACAGUAGAGAAACAAGAAAUAGAAAAUGAGAUUUGCCCUUUUUAAACAGAAAGCAAUCAAAGAGUAAACUAAAGAGCUAAUAAUUCACAAAAUUCAGUUGAUUAAACUCAUUUACAAGUAAUUAGCAACAAAAUCCAAGCUAAAUAAAAAUAAUGAAAAUUAGGUUCUUAUAACAUCCGUCAAUUCUAUGAAAGUUUACCACGAUCAGCAACAAAUAGAUAAAUCGCAAUAAAGAAAAACCGACGACAUGUCGGUUGUGUAGUGCAUAAGUAAAGGAAUUUGCAGAUGAUGUAAAGAGAAUGAGGGAUAGUAACUGACCGAUGUUGAGACGAACCAUUGAAGACGAAUCGGAGUCCUUCGCCAUUGUCGAGUGUAAUGACUUGUCGUCUUACUUGCGCUCAUAGGUAUUUAUAUCAUAGCUGACACUGUUCGAAGGACAGCAAGGAUUUGGUGGGCACAAAUGCAUUUUGGAAAUUGGGCUUCGGCCCAAGAAAUCGAAAAUCAGAGGCUUUUUUUUAAAAAAAAUUUAAAAGGAUUAGAAUGUCUAUAAAUUAAUAGGGCUGAGACCAUCUUAAAUCUAUUAAGUAAAAGAGAUAUUAAAUAUUUUAUUAAUUAAUAAUUUAUUAAUUUACAGAAUUAUUUAUAAUUCAAUUAACAUACAUUUAAUAACUAAACAUUCAAUGUACAUAAUUUCUGAUUACAAUUCAAAGCACUAACAAUACUUCAUAAUUUCUUAUUACAAUUCAAGAAUUCAACCUCAUAGCUUUUAGAUGCAAUAAGAAAAAUAAGAAAUAAGAUUCAGUUAUAUUUAAAUUUUAAGAAAAAAACAAUAAAAUCAUAUUUUAUGUAAUUAAAAUAUCAUAGUCAACUACAUUUGUAAUUUCAACAAAUUAUUACUCUAUGAUUUAAAUGAGACCACAAAGUUAUAUAAGAUUUUAUCGAAAUUAUUAAUUUAAUCCAUUAGUCCAUGUCAAGACCUUGAAAAUUUAAUAAUUAUAUAAUAGAGAUUAUUAAUUUAUCGAGUAUUAAUUUAUAGAAGUUCUGAUUGUAUAUUAUUUUAUAUUAAUAAAGAAUAAAGUAGCAUUCUUUUUUAAUUCCGAAGUAAUAAAAUUAUGGCUAAAUUAAGAGAGUAGAUAUAUUUUAUAACUUGGUUUAAUAACAUCACGCGCCUCCCUUGUAGUUUUGCAGCUUUGAAGCUUUAUAAUGAAUCCUAUUAGCUUUGGCUGGAAAGUUAUAUUGUUAAAGAGAGUUUAUAUAUUAAACAAGGUGAUCUAAUAUUUCCAAAACUAAAUUUGGGAUCAAAAAUAGAAAACAUUUGCAUGUUUUUACCUUUUGGAAGAAUUACUUGAUAAGUGCUUCACAGAAAAAUGCUUGCUAUUAUAGAGCACCCUAAAAAAAAUCCUUAAUAAUUGAGGGAUCAUAAUAAAGUUCAAUUCUAAAUCUGUCAGAUAGAUCGAAAGUAACAAACCAUAUAUAUUUAAAUCUAUUUAGUAAUCCAGGGUUACAAGCCAAGCGUGCAAUAGCCAAUUCUGAAAAUCAAAGCUCAGCCUAUGCUCUCUGAGCACAAAUAAGAUCUGAUAUAUACAUAUCGAAUCCUCCAUUAUGUGGAGUGAAAUUUCCAUCGUGUACGGUGUACCUAACAAUGAGAAAGCAUGGCAGCAUAAAUUCAUCUUCCAUGUUAUUCUACUUAUUAGUACUGGUUCCCUCAUAACUUCUCCAAAUCGGGGAGGUCUGCAAUGUGUAAAGCACGUAAUCAGAUAAAAGAAAGAGAGCCAAAAAAAAAAAAAAAGGUAACAGCCAAAAGAUUAAAUUUCUUUGAGAAAUAGAAAAUGGGAGCUUUUGGCAUAGGCACAGAAUAGAAAGUAACAGAGUCAUUUACAGUUGUUCAGAAUAUGCAAGCUGAAAACAACUUUGAAUGCAAUGGACAAUUCCUCCAACAAACAAUCGAAUUGGAUUGUGGAAGAGACAAAAGCUUAAUGAGGUUAUGGUUUUGGCUAGGUGAACUCAAAAUUCUUUUAUAGACCAAGUAGGUAAAAACAAAUCCCAUAUAGAUGGAUGAACCUCAUACCAUGAACAGUUAAUCGCGAACACUUGCAGGCUUAUGCACACGACUAUGAAGAUACUAAGGGUUUCACCGAUGGUAAGUGAAAAAUAUAUGAUGUAUAAUUUAAAUGGAAGCACAUAGUUUCGGAUUGAAUUCAAGGUUAAAGUUCCACAGACAGACAGAAGAGAUGAAGCUUAAAAACUUACAGAGCAUUCCUUCAUCAUCACUGCUUUCAUCAUUUUGGCCAACAUGCUGAAAAAAGAAUAUGAUUCAAGUUAAAUGAUUGAGCAACAAUAAAAAACGUGCAAAAUUAAUGCUCUCUCCACAAAAAUUUCAGUCUAUAUUGGUAAGAAGAAACAGGAAGAAAAAAUUACCUCAGCAUCAUCGUCAUUGGAAGCCAAAUCAGCUGUAAAGACCACAAAAUGUUUGGUUAGAACCAGUGGAAGUCUUACUCUAAAAUUUUUAAUUUUUGAAUUUCGAAAGAUCUCGUAAUGACAAAGAUUUUCAUAUCCAGUGACCAAGUUUUGAAAAUUAGAAUACGGAAUGACAUCAACUAAAUUCACUAAUAUAAGCUAGAGGAAUCCCUAGUAGAUAUAGCGCACAUGCACACAUGAUAUGCAUCCGAAUACACAAUAAUAAAUUAUCUCAAAGUCAAUAAGAAGCCAAAAUUAGAGAUAAACUUUUAGCCACUAUAAGGAAGACUGAUAUUUGCAGUGUGAUUACAAUAAACAAACAGAAACUUCACUACCCAUAAGUAAAACAAAAUAAAUAAAGGAUAAUAACUAACCAAGAAAUGGAAAAGCUCACAUUCUCUGAACACGCACCCCAAAAAGAAAGAAAGAAAUAAAUGUUCUCAUUGGAUCUGAAGCACAAGCAAUCCACUGACAUCCUUCUAUAAUUAGGUAAUUUAAAGGGGUUAAGCUCACAUCUUUUACGGAAGUAAGAAGAGAAUUAACAACCUUCCAGAGGAUUUAGGGAAAUACCACGAGGCAAGAAAAAAGAAAUAUCCUUCUUCAAUCUAGAUAUCCUGAUACUGCUCACCAUCUACAACAGUCUGUGGCUUAAAAAGCAGGUCACUGAUCUCUCCCUCCCUCUGGCACCAUUUUCUCUCAUGUCUCAUUUUUCCCUUCCUGCCAACUCCCACUACAGUAUUGAAACCUAUUCUAUCAACUCUUCCCCCUCCAAUAACAAGACCAAAACCAAUUUUACUCGCCGGUUAGCUAGGUAGUAAAUGGAAAUUUGUGAAUCUGUCAUUCAUCCGUAGAAACAAACCAGAACUGCAUAAAUUCUCUUCUCUCCCAACAGCUUCUUUUCUCCAGAAAUAGGCACAAGUAUUUGACAUGGAAACAGUUUAUCUAACAUGGCCACCUUUAAAGACAAAGACAUACUAAGGACGUGGUUUUAGAUACGGAUACAAGAAACAAUCACAAAAUGUAAAAUCUAUACAUAUGAUAUUAAUUUCCAAUGGAUACAGCAAUUCAUUCUUUGACAUAACUUCAUCAGAUUACUAGGUUUGAUUAGGUUAUACACACAUUUAUUCAUUUAUUGAAUCUACAUGCACUUAGAAUGAGAGGUACCUAUAAAAACAAGUUACCAGAAAACAAUACAGCUAGAAAACAUUAAUCUAAGUAGUUCUAUAGGUUUAACUAACUGCAGGAAAAAACCAUUGAUUUUGUCCGCCAGAUUAUCGAGAUCCUAAUUCUGGUAAAAAGAAAAUGAGAUAAUAGAAAAUCAAAAAUUAAAUAGACACAAAAUGAGAAAUCAAGAUCAUAUGGCAACUAAUAUAUAGCAUGGGCUGCAGCUAACAAGCAAUAUAAGCCAUGAUAUUAUGCCAGAUACAAAUUUUGAGAUCCAAGAGAGAUCAAGAAGCAUGAAUACCACUAAAAUAUCGAAAGAAGUGAGUGCAGAAGGAUAAGAAAUCAGGUUGAUAUUCUUCAUACUUUGGAUCAACACGUAGUGAUGCAAUAAACUUGUAAUUAGCUUCAAAUGUAUAGGCUACCAUGUCAACAUUUCCGAAAACACACAAGAUUGUGCUGGAUUCAUACAUAGUACAUAUAUAAAAAAACAAUCUGCUUCUAAACUUCAUGAGAACAUCGAAUAAUGAACUUACAAUUUGAUCCCUCAUCAUCUUCAUCGCACCAUUUGUUCCAAUCAACCUUAAUGUAAGGUGCUGGUUUCUCUUCUGACUUGAGUAGCCUUUUCCACCAACCUUUCUCUUCUUUUUGGACCGAGCAUAUUAUGUUCCUUAAGCCAACUUUAGUCUUACAUUUCUGCACCACCAGCAACAAAACUCAAAGCAUUACAAAAGAGGUAUAUUUAGCCGCUCUUGACUCGAGUGAGAGAACAGGAUAAAUAGCCUAGGUAUAUCCACAUCCAUGUUAUGAGAUUGAUUAUGCAACAGCUAACUUUAAUAUAAAGCUUUUGCUUCAACAAAGACUAAAAUGUUUGUAAUUGUUAUGCUUUUGGAGCUAAAAUGUUUGGCAAACACCCACUUUUACUCUGCACCUAAUAUCUACCACCCACCCACACACUAAGUCUCUCGUUUGGUACAGCUAUUUAUCAGUAGUGGCUUUAAGCCACAACAUUUAAAGCGAAUUUACCCUAAAAUUUUACAAUGAAAAACCUAUACUACCUUUAACAUUGUUGUCAAAAUUAUUAUUAUAAGUAAUAUUUACCAAACACUAUCAACUUCCAAUUCAUAUCAAAGAGCUUUCACUCCACAAUAGCCGUGUCUUCUUAAGCCAGAACAACACAAUACCAAAGGCCUUAAGCUAGUGAUUUGAUUUCACAACAACUGCAGAUCAAGCCUCAAUCCCAAACAUACAUAAAUCAAAUGCAGAAAGCAAAAAUUUAACAAUAUGUUUGGUAUACUAAAUGUCUUUCAUAGUUUCAUUUCACAGGGUAUUUAGACAUGCAAUGAUAAAUUGGAGCAAUUUCAAGAACCGAAUUGACCUCAGGUAAAAUUUUGCCAAAAAGUUCCAAGCUGAAGUCGUAAAGCUCGCCUUGGACUCCGACGGCCGAGAAGCCAAAAAUCCCCUGAGGCUCGCAUUUCACAGAAAUGUCUUUCGCAUCGGGUAAUGAAAUGGUAAGGUAUACUUUAUCGGAGCGCUGAGCCCAAAGAACCUCCGGAUGGCGACUGAACAUAAAAGAAAUAAUAAUAAUAAUAAUAUUAUUAUUUUUUAUUGUGACAAUUUUGAACUAAUAAUUAGAGACAUUUAACAACAAUAUUGAUUAAUAUUGGAGAAGAAAAAUAAGGUUACAAGAGAGAAUCAGAAAGAUUACCUCAUUCUGGUGGAUGAUUGAAAACGGUGGGUCGAUUGAUGAACAGAAGUGUAACUGUCUGGGAGUGAGAGUGACUCUGCUGUUUACUGGGUAGAGUGUGCUUACUCGAAGAAAUUGAAAGUGAUAAUCUCGGGCAAGCCAACACGUCGAUUUGGUCAACAGUGGUCCAACAAACCAGGAACUAGGUUUUUUUUUUUAAAUGAUUUUUUUUUUCAGUAUUAUAUUGCCCCGCCCGUGGGCUAUUACAUUUUGGCCCUUUUGGGGACCCCUCGUUCUCUUACAAGAAGGGAAUAUUCUUUUCCAUCCACCGGUUUGUAGGCAGAGUACAUAUACUCUUCGAAAUUAAGGACAAAUUUCUGAAUCGUGCCGCAUUAGAAUUAAAUUGAGUCUCAAAAGAAUUUUGGUUAUAAGUAUAUCGUUCAAACGGUAAUAUAUUAAAAAAAAUAAUAUUUACUACAAUGUAGACCUAUCGGGACUUUGAAGCCCAGACCAAUUCUUGAGUCUAGCCUAAUAACACCUCAACAGAUCAAAAUUGAAAUCCAACUUAAAUUUCAAUAUUGUGUAGGGAUCUGCCUUAAUUUAGAUAUGUCAAGACCUGCCUUAGGCAUCAAAGUGAUCUAUCUUAACAUAACUAAGACUUUCUUUAAACAUCACAAUGAUUUAUCUUAACGUAGUCAAAUCUAGCCUAAAAAAAUCUAAAGAAGGAAAAAAGAAAUUAUUUUCACGUAUUGAGAGACUUAAAUUCUUAACCUUAUUCAUAAGAAAAAAAAGUGUAUUACUUAACUAAAUCGUGACUAAAAAUUAUAAUUAUUAUUUUUUGUACAUUUAGCUUUAAAAAAUCAUUAUAUAUAUAUAUUCAUAUAAGUUUUGACAUAAUAUACAUACCACUUAUUUGUUUUUUAAAUUAUACGAGAAUGAAAAAACUCAAGCAUUAAACACCAACUUUUGUUUCAUGCUAUCAAUCAACUUGAGAAAUUUUAUAAUAUAUCGGAAGUUCUACGUCACAAUUUAAUACGAAGCCUUCGAUUAAUAAUAAUUAGACACAUGACAAUAGAUGCUAGAGAAAUUUUAAAUUCCCUCUUUUCAUUAUCCCUCCAAAUUUAGAAUUUCAAAAAAUUAGAGAAUAAAUGUUGCUUGCUCUCUUUGUUAUCUAAUUCUAAUUAUUAUUUUUUUCUCUCUCUCUCCAAUCAAGUUGCUAGCAUUUUUUAAAUCUAUUGAAGAAUAAGAAGAAGGUUUUUGUCGAUGAAAUGAUUUUGGCAGCCUUUUUUACCCAAAGCUAACAUGAUUGCUGCGACUACCAAUGAAGAAAAAGAUGUGUUUUGCUGGCGAAGAAGAUGAUUUUUGAAGCAUGAGUGGCUGCCGUUUAUUUUUUUCCUUCAUAUUUUUCGAUGUAGUGGCUGUCCUCAAGUUUUAUUCAUUUACUUUUCAGUUGGCCUACUAUUUAUUGGCAUAAUGAAAAAUUUUAUUUUAAUAAGCAUUUAUAGAUUAAUUUGAGGAGGUUUCUUUUGCAAUAUUAGUGUGGUUUCUGCAUUGGUAUGAUUUAAAUUACGAACUUGCUACAAUCUUUAAUUAAACUGUCAAAAGUAAUUUAAAAAAUCUUUAAUUAAACCGUCAAAAGUAAUUUAAAAACUGACAGUAGAUAGAUUAGAGAUAGGCUUGACAAUUUAGCCCGACUCUAUUUUUAGUCUGAUUGAUCCGAUCCUAAUUUUUAAGACUUUGGCCUGAAUUUUUUGAUUUCGGGUCGGGUUCGGGUCAAAAUUUUAAGGCCCGAACAAAUUUAGGGUCAGGGUCGGACUUAAAACCAACCCGACCCGACCCUAUUUAAAAAAAAAAAAACUAACACACGCACACAACACAUGACAGUUCACUCUCUCUAAAUCGUAAAUCACACACACAAAAUACACUUACACAAAUUCACAAAAACCCUAAGCCAGCCACCCAGCCUGCUGCCGUCCUAUCAGCCAACAUCGUGACCGUCCGCCGCACGCCAGCCAAUCAGCCGUCGUCUCGUCGUCGCAUGUCUCACCAAUCAGCCAUCGUGACCGUCUGCGACGCUGCGACAUGAACUUGAACCAGCCGCCCUUUGUCGCCGUCCUGCCGCAUCCGCCUGCCAGCCAACGAUCAAUGCACACAGUUGAAUUGUGGGGUGGGAAAUGGUUUCGAUAGGGUCGGGCUCGACCCGACCCUAACUAUAAAGAGGUAGGGCUUUUUUAGGGUCGGGUUUUAAUUUUUUGUUGAUCGGGUCGGGUCGGGUUUGGCCAAACCCGAGCCCGACCCGACGUUUUGCCAUCCCUAAUUAGAGAUGAAGAUUGGAGAGAGAGAAAAAUAUAAUUUGAAUGAGAUAAUAAAGAGAGAAGAAAUUCUAUAAUACAUCAUAAGUAAUAUAACUCAUUGAUGUAUGCAUGAUAUAUGUAAUUAACCUUAAUAUAACUAACACUUGUAUGGUGAUAUUUCAAAAUAAAUAUACAUAUGUUAUAAAAUCAUUUACUUAUUGUAUGACUGACAUUUUAUUUUUGAUGUAUUGUACAAUUUCUCAGAAGAGAGUAGUAUUUAUUAUCUCUAAUUUUUUGAAAUUCUAAAUUUUGGAAGGAUAAUAGAAAGAGAAAUUUUAAAAAUUUUUCAACGUAUAAUGCCAUGUAUCUAAUUAUUAUUAGUCGGUGUUCCACGUUAAAACGUAAUAUAGAACCUCUGGACCUUACUGUAUAAUGUACUGUAGAAUUUCCUGAUCACACACUUUCUCAGUUGCAAAAGAGGUGGGCAUAUGAGUUCCUUACGGGGAUUUAGUGUGAAUCCACGCAAAGCCCAUAUAGAUUUUUCCGGUUAACCGCUAUGGCAUCCUAGUUUUAAACUCAGUACUAAAUUUACAGAUCCAUUUAAACCCCCCAAAUCAGUCUCUCACCGUCUCAAGUCUCAAACAAAAAACCUGACCGGAACCCAAACCGCCAAAUCCGAUUCGAUGGUGGACUGUGCUAAAACCCCUAAAAUUCCAAGACUGACAUGCGGUAAAGGAGAUGGUGAUAGACUUAGCAAUCUUCCGGAGCACAUCAUUUAUCACAUAUUCUCGUUCAUGGAAACAGUUGAUGUUGUUAGAGCAAGCACUGUUUCGCGAAGAUGGAGGUACUUGUGGCUUUCCGUUCCUUAUUUGAACUUCGACUAUCACACAAUUUGGUCAGACCCGGAAAGUAGAUGGUCUCGUAGGAAAAUCAAUGAUAAGUUCAAAGAUUUUGUCAACUGGGUAAUAUUUUCUCAAAAUGGGUCUGUUAAUAUUCAAAGAUUUCGUCUUUGCUGCUGGGAUUAUUUAGCAAGUUACGAUAACGAUAGAACGAUUUACAGAUGGGUUUCUGCUAUGGCACGUCGAAACGUGCAAGUGCUUGAUCUGGCUAUAGCUUCACUAUACCCAUUUGAGUUUGACUUGCCACAUAGUCUUGUAACUUGUGAUUCAUUGGUGGAACUGAAGUUGAGUUUGAGCUUUCAUGUUCACCGAUGUUUUUUAAAGCUGCCUACUGCUGCUGGUUUUAUUGGGCUCAAGUCUCUUGAUUUACAAAGUGUUGCGUUGGAUGAUAAUUUGUUUCCUGAAUUUAUUUCAAAUCUUCCCCUGCUUGAGAAUUUGUGUAUGUUGUCAUGUGUUUUUCCUGAAUUGAAGGUUCUUGACAUUUCUUCCACUAAUUUGAAGAAUUUGGCUCUGGAAUCCAUUGUUGGCAAUGAUAAUGCUGGCAAUGAUGAUGCUGGCAAUGAUGAUGCUGGCAACUACAAGCUUAAGAUUGCUUGUCCAAAUCUUGUGUCUUUUAAUUAUAUAGCUUUAGCUCCAUGGUUACCUCACUUUGCUUUUGAGAGCUUAAACUCCUUGCAAAAUGCAUUCAUUGACCUGGAUGAUUAUAACGAGGAUGACAUGGAGAACGAAAGAUGUCAUGUUUUAUCUACAAUCUUCAAUGACUUUCGUGAAGUUAAAGUUUUGAAAUUAUCAGAAGCCAUUCUUCUCGAGGUAUGAUUUCAAAUACAUUCAUUGCACCAAAUCAUGAUUCUGCCAGAACUUGUCUACACUUUUUUAUUUUGACAUUAGAAAUGAAGCUUAAGUAAACUGAAUCUACUUUCUUUGUUUGGUAAAAUAAGAAUUCUAUUGAUUAUGGAACCUUCCUAAAUGCUAAUUUGUUCUUUAGACUGUGUAUAAGUCAUUGUGACAUUGUAUGAAGUCUCAUUUAUCUGAGUAAUCAAUUGUUAUUGAUGUCAAAGACUAGAACUCAUUGGUGACUUGAGUUUAUGUAUAUUAUCGUUUGUUAGAUUUUUUGUGUGAUUAUUGCACUUAACUUGACUAAUGUAUUCUCUUUCUUUUUGCCAUUGUUCCUCCAGGUUCUUGAUCCUGAUCCUGCUCACGAAGAACCAGCAUUUUUUUCCACUUCAUUCAAUAAUUUGAAGUCCUUAAUACUUUCUGCAGGUCCGGGUGUAUGUCUCAUGCCAUCAAUGCUUAGGUUGCUCAACUGCUCUCCAAAUCUAGAAGCUCUUGCAAUAUAUUCUCCUAAGGUAAUCUUAACACCAAAAACUAUUCCAUUUGUUAGAUACCGUCGCUUCUAUCCAUUUUUUUUAAAAAUCAUAUCUCCCAUUUAUGUGCUAAAAUUUUAAUUUUGUUAAAGUGCAACUGGGCUUUGCUUAAAUUAUCGCAAUAGAGUUGAAACCUGAAAGUAUUUGUGAUAUAUUAUGUUUACCGCUUAGAGCUUAAAGUAAAUGUUAAUCUUGUGGCCUCUUGGUUGUUCCCAUGCUAUUGCUUGUUGAGCAGAUGGUUGAAUUUAGAGUCAAUCAAUCGGUUGUGUUCUUCUGAGGUUUGUGCAAGUUUUGUAAAAGAGCAAAGUUUAGUAUUUGUUUAGUUUGUGAAAAUGAUAUAGCUUUUUCUAAUUCAUCUUACUCUAUUCUUUGCUUAAAAAUGAAUUCUCCUUUUGAUUUGAUUCCUUGACUGCAUUUCGGUCUGUUUUCUCUUGGCAGCAUCGGCGUGGAUAUAAUGCUUAUAGGAAAACACCGAACAAGGCUGCUAUUUCAUGUUUGACAAAUCAUCUCAAGACAGUUGAAAUAAAACAUUUUAGCGGUGAUAUGAAUCAACUUGAAAUUGUGAGGUUUCUUCUAAGGAAUGGACAUGUAUUGCAGAGAAUGAGUAUUAGAUGGGUGGCAGAUGUUAAGAAUCAAGGGAAGAUUAUCUCAAGGAUAAUGAAGUUUCGGAGAUCAUCUUCAAGUGUUGUGCUGAAAUUCCUAGAUCCUAAGCCAGCUGAUGAUUUUUCAGAUUAUUUAUUUGAUGAUGAGCAAAAGAACUAAAAUUAUGUUUAAAUUAAAAAAAAAAAAAGUGGUUUAAGUGUAUGUUCGAAUUAAAUAGUCUUUUGGAUUUGUAGAAACUGAAAGGAGUACAGUGCCAGUCACUGUGGCAGCCUUAUGUUUUGUUUGAAAAAAUUCGGAAGCUUCUAAAUUGUUAUAUACCUCAAUUCUGAAGUCGUUAGUAUGUAUAUUAUAAGCAAUACAUAUGUUCCAUUUGUCAUAUUUUAUUUUGGCAUUACGAUUGUUUUGUCUUGAUUAAUAUUGAUUAUAAUUUGUUUAACAUUUAUCUGGCAUAUGUAGAAUUAUACUUUAUCUGAGUAGAUGACGCUGCUGCGUACAUCUUCAGGACUCGGUCAUAAACUGUUUAUCUCUGCGUCUGUCUAGCAUCCAUCCACGUAUGACCUGUCGGCUUUUUGCCCGCAAGCAUACAGUUAGGGGUGGUAAAAAUAUCUGUCCGGUCUGGAUUCGGUUCGCACCCGGAUGUUUUAUCCGGCCCGGUCUUGGGCAUCAUUUGAUAAAUUCGGAACCCGAGUUUUAUUAAGCGCCUUGGCCGUACAGCAGUAUAUUAUUUUAAAUAUUUAUAUUUAUUUGACUCAUUUAUUACAUAUAUAUAAAGUUUUAGACACUUAAAGUUUAUAUUUUCAUGUCAAAUUUCAUUAAAAUAAAUUUAAAACUUAUAAAAUUACCAAAAAAUAAAAAAUAUAUACAUAUAUAAUAUUAAAAAAUAUAAAAUCUGGGUACCCAAAUUAAAACCCGGCACAAUCCGACCCAGGCAUCUAUGCAUCCGGGUCGGGUCCGGUCAUUACGAUACCCCGACCCAGCCCAGGGUUUUGCCAUCCCUACAUGCAGUGUAUAUGAAUUGCAGUUCUUGUACGGACAACAUGUCAUCCAUAAAACUCGAGUUAUGUUCUUUUUAAUCUUUAGUUUAGAUUACAUUUUGCAAAACUAAUAAACGAUAGAGCUCCUAGCAAGGUCAAUAGUUAACUGCGAAUCCAGAAGAUCGGAAUGCUAUACCUUUCAAACAUGCAUUUCAAAGCCAUCUGCGGAAAUGGAAAACAAGCAUUUCAAACUCGUUGUUAAAACAAUGAUAAAAGUAAUUUUAAUCCUAAUUUUUAAUUCCAGGCAUGAAGCUAACUCAUAUACAAAGAGAUAUCAAGUAAGCAGAGGCGAAAGCUAAAAGCUUUGGUUACAGGGGUCGGUGUGAAUAAUGUAUAUAUCGUUUAGACAUAUUUUUGAAUAUCUAUUUUAAUUUAGGGGAUAUUAUAUAUAUUUAAAAAAAAUUAAAAUUUUUACGGGAGCCAUGGCUUACUAUAGUCUCCAUUAAGAUUCACCCUCCCUACUUUUCGUACUUCAUUAAAGUAUAGGAUAAAUAUUUACAAUAUUAUAAAUAGAUUUUAUAAAAGCAGUCCAUAUAUGAAAGUCCUUCUGCACUCUGAAUUAAAUAAAAAUAACGUGAGACUAACAAUUUAAGAGUCUUUUUUGCAACGUAUAUCGUGCAGUGAUGUACUCUAUCGACGGAGGACUCUCUUCAUAUGCUUUUUAUUUUUCCAUGCCUGAUUAUAAAUAGGAUCACUCUAUGUUACAUUAAACGUAACGUACACACACUCACAACAACAGUAACAAGUCCCAUCAUUAGAACUGUUGCUGUGAGUGCGUGUAUGUUACGUUUAACGUAACAUAUCACUAGCCUUAUAAAUAACAUCACUUUUAAGGAUUUUUACAAAUUUUUAUUACAACCGUAACUUUUGUCCUCAUACAAUAACGGUGUCCAUUGUCCACAUAUAAAAAGUUCAUCAAUAAACAUAUAACCUAAUUAAAAUUCGUGACAAAAUCCAAAGGAAAGAAAGCGUGGAGUAAUAUAUAUAACAAAGGCAUUGAGCAUACACCAGGUGUAAUUUGCAUUGCAUGGCCACCCUUACGUGGCAGUUCCGCCGAUUAACACAUCUUUAAAAGUUAAAGCCCCCCUCUCUCCUUGUUAAGGGCGUUUCAACACAACACUCAUCAAUGCAAGCAAAGAGACAGUGAAGGAAAAAUUAAGAAACCAAUAUUGUCACUUGGAAGAAAGAAACAAUCAUUACAUAUAUAAUACGAUGGAUACUAAGAACAACAGGAAGCAUUUGUCCUGCAUUGCCAACGACGUCGUUCACAGAUGUGCACUGUACGUAUCUCUCUCUCUCUCUCUCUCUCCUUUUCUUUUUCUCCCCGAUCACUUUGUUUUCUUUAUAUAUACGAAUGUAUGUAGAACGUAGUAGGUUUUGUAUAAAUAUCUGUUGCACACAUUAUUUGAUGUGCAUUUAAAUAUAAUUAAUGGUAAUUGAGAUGACACACAAAGACAAUGCAAAAAAAGAAAAAAAAAGAGAGAGUAAAUUAAUGAAUUUGCCUUGAUCCAGUUAAUUUGUGUGCAUUUAGCUGACUGUAAGGUGGUUUCGAGUGUGUUUUUGUUUGGCAACUUUUCACACAAAAGCACUUUUGGGAAGCACUUUAUGUAAUGUAAGUGCCUCUAAAAACUGUUUUAUGUAUUACUGCCAAAUGCAGUGCAGAGGUUACAAUGGGAGGGUCGGUUUUAUACCUGUUCUUCGAGACUUAAUUUCAAUAGGAGAUUGAAAUAUUUAUGAGAAUUAUGUUGUUAGCAGACUUAAUUCUUUUGGAGGAAUUCAUUCCAUCGUAGACCACUCAAUGAAUUUGGUCGAUUGAGAUUAUUUGAGUGCAUGCUUCAAAACUGGAGCAUUAAUUCUUUGACAUAAAUGGGCUUUAACAUAAGGCGCGUUCGCUUAUUCCAUUUAUUCAAGAAGUUGGCACUCAAUUUUUUAUUACUAGCCUUUAGAUGGCCAGCAGCCUUUUGUAGCCCUUUCUAGUUUCUACUAAAGUGGUUAUGUGCAAUAGUUCUAUUCUGGGUUGCAAAAUUAUUGUGUCAGUAGAAUCCACAUACAUUAUGUACUUUUCUGUAUUUAAUUUCAAGAGGCUUAGUUAUAUCAUAGUUUUAGGAUUAUAAUAAGUCUGUCCGUUACCAUGUUAUUGGAAUUUUUUUUUUUUUCUAAAUUAGUUGGACACAUUAUUGGAUUGGUCAAUAAAGGAAAGCAUUUGGCAAGUACUUGGUUUGAUAUUAACAUAUAGUUGCAGUAAAGCACAUUAACUUGUGCAUCCUGAAAUUCUUGCAGGCAAGUAAAGGCUUCUGAGGAUUCAUUGGUGGAGGGGUUUGAAGCUGAAUGGAAGCCUGAAAUCGGACAGUAUUCGAAGAAAUUUGUGGAAUAUUGCAGCAUAAAGGCUCUUACUAACAUGUGCCAGAGCAUAGAAGAAAAGAUUAGUGAUGGAUCAUUUAGUCGACUCACAUUUGAUAUGAUGCUUGCCUGGGAAAUGCCUAGUGCCGCCGAUGAGGAGUCUCAUACUGUAAGCAAUCAUCAUAAUACUCAUAUCCUAUAUUUAUUUCAUGGUCCACCAAAUCAUUAUGAUAUUAUCCCAAUUUUGGUGUGCCUAUCUUCUCUUCAAGUUGCUUCUUCUAUUUCUUUUUCAUUAUACAUUCUCUGGUUCUCAUCAGUUUUCGCUCCAAUUAAAAGAAGCAUGAAUUCUUUCACUUAUCUGCUGAAUCUGUUCUAAUGAUUGGGCAAUAGAUUUUUAUUCCUCUCUGUGGUUACUACUAUUUUGAUCUUGUGCAGGAGUGCAUGGGAAAGGAGAAUGAGGAUAGAAAGGCUGUAAAAGUCACUUCAGAUCAUGAUGAAAUUCCUCUCUUCUAUACAGACAUCAUGCCUCUUCUAGUAAGAGCGUCUCUUUCUGAUCAUUUGAGUGCUAAUGUACCGACCAAGCAUUAGCCUUCACUGAAACUCGUAUAUGAUUUCAUGAACAUUGAUUAAUUGUUAUUUUUGCUAACUACUCUAUGAGAUCUGAUCAAAUUAGAUAUAUAAAUGUUGCGAUUGAUCUUGGAUUUGCUUUAUAUUUGGCCAUCAAUUAUAUUUUACUCUUCAUUUUUAUAUUUGUUUGGUUUGAUAAUUUACCCUCUGGCCCAUAUAUAUGAUGGUAGGUUAAUAAUGAACCGAGUGUUGGAGAAGAUGCAUUUGUAUGGAUGGGAUCCUUAGUUCCUCUAGUUUCAGAUGUUAUUAAUGGGAGAUUUACAUAUGAAAUUCUGACAGCGCCAACAGGAAACCGGCUCCAUUCUCCAGCAUAUGAUAUAUUUCUAAAGGAGAUGGACAAGUAAUUCUUCCAAUUCUUCCAUGCAGCAAUUUUACCACUCAGAAACUUUAAGUGCCGUUUGGUUUUGUGACAUGCAAAUUAUCAUGGAACACUCAAAAUGAGUUGUUCUUAACAAUUUCUAGAAUUUGCAAACUCACUAACCAUAUCUGAAAAUGCAGAAGCAUUAUUACCACUUAUUGAUAACAAUAUCUCUGCUCGACUUGUUUGGGUGCUUUCAGCCGUUUUUCAUUUUCUUUUGGAAAUCUUGAUUUCAUAGAUGCAUAAAACAUUUGCAAAAACAAGCAACUCCAAAGGGUGUUGAGCUGGCUGACGAUGAAUUUAUACUGCAUGUGGAGGGAACUGCAAGCACACAGAGAGUAGUGCGCCAUAUUGGGAAAACAAGUUGGCCUGGUAUGUCUUUAGUUUGAUGUCUUACAUCUUUUUAACUGCUGUAGAAAUUGUUACUUGGAUUUUACUAAUCAUAAUUGUUGUCUCUAGGUAGGCUCACACUGACAAAUUAUGCGCUCUACUUCGAGGCUUCGGGAGUAAUAACAUAUGAAGAUGCUCUAAAGAUUGACCUCUCAAAAGAUGCUGAACUAUCUGUUAAACCAACUGCCACAGGUCCAUGGGGUGCUCCGCUUUUUGACAAGGCAAUUGUAGUCGAGUCCCCUGAACAGUAAGCAUAGUUGCACUUAUAUGAAAUUACUGGAGCUAUUAGCAUCGUUAUUCUUAUUUUAAAAAUUGUUAAAUGCUUGGUAGUUAUCCCAUAAGCUAGAUUUUAAAUGCAUAACAUACAAGGCAGACAUCAGAAAGCAUUCUGAUUCGUUUAUUAAAGUUUGUCUUUUAUUAAGCUAAAGAUAUUAAUGCUGCUAGAUUUUUCUAAUUUGGUUGUAGAUAUUGGUUAGUUACACUGUCAAAUGAGCAAAUCUCGUGGAUAUUUCAUAGUGUGGUUAUGCAAUUGUUUUUUGCCCUUCACUUUUCUAGAUCUGAGGGAAUUGUCCUGGAGUUUCCAGAGAUAACUAGCUCGACAAGGCGUGAUCAUUGGCUGGCCCUCACAAAGGAGAUAAUGUUAAUGCACAAAUUCCUGUCAAAAUUCAAGGUGGAAUGUCCAAUACAAGCAUGGGAGAUGAAUGCAAGGACAAUACUUUGCAUCAUAAGACUCCAUGCAGCAAGAGAAAUGCUGAGGAUAUUGCCUCCAGAUCCCACAAAAUUCUUGAUUUUUGCUUUGUAUGAUGAGUUGCCAAAGGGAGACUACGUGCUAGAAGAGCUUGCUGAGAGUCUGAAGAAAGUUAAUUGUGGACAUCCUUCCAGUGCUAGCUCAAUUCUGAGAUGUAUGAACCUGUCAAUUGCCGCAAGUGGAGAAGUAAAAGAAGGAAAAGAACUGGAGGAACAUAAACAUAUAAGUGAUGAAAGCUGUUCAUCACUGGAAACUGCCAUCAAUCAAUCUAAAGAGCAAGCAAAGGCAAUUGAAAUUGCUAAGUCUACCACUGAGGGCCUGAAAGAUGAAGGGAUCAGUGAUAGUAUCCUUGUUCUCUUGGUAUGUUUUUACUUCCAAAUUGUUGUUUAUGCUGCUGAUUUUAUAUUGACAGAAUAAGUAAUGACAUCUCAACAAAUCAUGGUAUUGAGAGCUUGUUUGACAUUUAUCAAACACAGCAAAGAAAUUGAAUUUUAUGAAAUUCCUAUAGCACCCUAUAAUUUGUACCAAAAAAUCUCUGCACCUUUGGCAUGCUGUAUGGUAUGGAAGUAUAGCUGUCUCAGAGAGGUUACUGUUAUUUACUUUAUUUGGUUUUGUAGUAUUGAUGUUAAGUUUGAUUUAAUAAUGUAGGAGCUACUAAAGCCACUUAAAAGUGUUUUACCCUGGAUUCGAGAAGUUGUUUCAUGGGAAAAACCAGCAACCACCCUCACUGUGAUUGCAACAACUCUACUAAUAGUGUACAAGUAAGUCAGUGCUCCCUCGUAAUUUUCUUAUAUACGGAAAUUUUUUUGAAAGUGCAUGUUGAUCAAGAACCACUUCAUUACUUGGCCUAUUAAUGUGUAAACUUUGCAAAUGACUAGUAAACUAUAUAAUGGCAAUGUAGGGAGUGGGUAGGCCAGGCUAUAGCUGCUUGUUUGCUCACCAUCGUGGUGAAGAUGCUUCAGGCAAGAAAAAAAAGGUUGACAGACAAAUGCAAUGAGAUAGUAGUAUGCACUGCUUCAGAUCAGAGCACCGUGGAGAGCAUUGUGUCGGCUCAAUACAGUUUGAUAACUAUUCAUGAGAUGUUGCAGGCAGCAAACAUUAUGAUUUUGAAGAUAUGGUCGAUAUUAAUUUCAAAGGCCCGCAAGGUACUCAUUUUGAUAACCUAUGCUUUCAGCUUAGCAAUUAAAUAUCGUUUUCAAUCAAUAUUGCUUAUUCGUCGUUAGCUGAAGUUCGUUUACCUACUACAUUUGUUGGAUGUCUUCAAUUAUUGAGGAGUCUUAGUUGCAUUUCCAAAUUGUUCUAAAUCCUCGUUUCAUUUAAUGGGUUGCAGCAUGCGGACACGGUUAUGGUGGCAUUGACUGGGUUAGCAAUAGUAUUAGCAGUUGUUCCAUUCAAGUAUAUUGUCAUGGGAGGUGUGCUGUACGGCUUCAUUAUGAACUCGAAGCCAAUGAAGUACCUGGGAAACAACUCAAACGACCAAAGCGGCAACAGACGUCUAAAAGAAUGGUGGGAGUCAAUCCCUAUUAUUCCUGUUCGCGUCGUGGACAAGCUUCCUGAGUGCCCAAAAUAAUGUGUCGGCUCCUGCACAAUCACAGUUGCCUAAAUCCUCUGUUUCUGAACUUUUGUUAUCAACUUACUGCACGAUAUACACUUCUGAGUUUGCUUUUGCCAUCAGAGUAGAACUGUAUCUGAAACACAGCAUACACUUAAAUGCUCAUUACAAAUUUGGAGAAAAGCACAAGUAGAAAAGGAUUGAAGACAUUCAGUAACGUUGAAAUUCUGCAUUUUCUUUAAUUUUUGUUAUGAACAAGUUUCUUAAUUAUUUGUUCUCUUGAUGUAAAAUAGCAUAUUGCUGGGAGUAAUGAAGAUGUGACUGUGCUUUUCCUAUUAGCAUGUUAAUAAAAGCAAAAUGGAAAAUUAUUAGUUACGUCCUCUCGUUUUGCGGCUUAUUGAGCUAACAAGUAACUUCUUCAUUACUAGCGUGCAAGUUUGCAACUAGUGAAUCUCAAAUAUAACUCUACCCAAUGGAUGGAUGUACGAUGGAUGUACCUACCCAAUCAUUUAUUUCUCAUUAAAUCUGUUAAAACAGAAAAAGUCCCGACGUCAUAUUCUUCGCGCCUUUUAAAAAACGACACGUGUCGUAUCCCACUACUCGCGUGCUGGAAACUUUAACCCACUCUGACUGCGUGACAGCAGAUCAUUCCCAAUUCAUUUCAGUUUCACUGUCACUUUCACUCCUCCUCAGGCGCCUUCCGACAAACAGGAAGAAUGCAAACUUGAAAACCCCCAAAAACCCUAACGUUCCCCCGGAGACCCUAACCCACCAUAAACCCUGGCUCUUAAUCCUAGCCACUAUGAGCGACCAAGACGAGCAAUCGCGAGCUCAGAAAGCCGCCCAGUUAACAAGUCCGCUCUCAUCCUCUCUCUCGAACCUUUCUUCUUCUUCAAGAAGCAUCCCCUCUAAUCAAGAUUUCCAUUUCUUCUACAAUUUCCCUGAAUUCAAUCAACCCGUCCAAGAAAUCGCGAACCAAUCGCAGCUCCUCCUACAAUCCAUCGGCUCAUCGGAGAUUUUUAACCAACCGAUCAAUUUUCCUGAUGAGGUUGACAUCUCGGACGCCUACGACUGGCUUGUCGACGUAAACGACAACGUUUUCGAGCGUAUGGAUGUUUCUUUCGACGAAUUUAGUAAAGUAAGAGGGGAAAAUGGGGAAGGAGAUGGAAAUGAAGGUGGCUUUCAGUUGGUUUAUGGGAAGAACAAGAAGAAGGGCGACAUUGUGGGUGGCUCUGCCCCGGCCAGUGUGAAAGUGAAGGACAGGAAAGAGAAAAGCAAGGUGCCGUUUCAUAUAUCGACUAUAACAAAACCGCAAGAGGAGUACAAGAUAGUUGUGAACAAUGCGAACCAGCCGUUUCAGCAUGUUUGGUUGCAGAAGAUUGAGGACAGUGGACGGUUUAUCCAUCCUCUUGUAAGUUUGUUAUUUUUUGAAUAUUUUGAUAUUGGAUUUGACUUACUGGGUUUGUUAAAUUUGUAAUCUGAAAAUAGUACCUUUCUUAGGGACUUUUUAGUGAUCAAUUAUUUCUUUCAUUUUCUUUUUGGGUGGUUUGUGGUAUAUGUUUACGCUUAUCUUGUUUGGAAUUUGUGUGCAAUUCUUAUUAUUCAUGCGAGAAUUUUAACACUAUCAUGUGGUUCAUGCUUGCCAAAAAUAUACCAAAACACUUUUGCUUAUUGCUAUUGCUUUAUUUGUACAGGACAAUCUUUCUGUUUUGGAUUUUGUUGAUAAAGAUAUAGGGGAUGUGGAACCUGUAAAACCUCCCUCGUUGGAGCAGACACCAUUCAAGCUUGUGGAAGAAGUUAAAGAUUUAAAGGAGCUAGCUGCUAAAUUGAAGAGCGUAGAUGAGUUUGCGGUAAAGUCUGACUUCUGUGAUUAUGUUUUAUUGAUAAAUAAUGCCGUGGUUCAGCCUUACUGCAGUAGUUUCUUUUUUUCAGCCUUUUGAUUUCUCUUUUCUGAUGGGGCAUUUCAUAUACAGAACUGAACACUGUCCUAUGUAGAGGAUAUAGUGUAGUUAAGGCACAUGUCACCGAUGUCAGCUACUUCAAAAUUAUAUAGUGCUGGAUGUGGUUUAAGCCAAUAAGACAAGAAAGGGGUGUGGCCGCCUAUGAAGAUACAUACAAAUAUGUUAAUAUUCGAAACAUAUACAAAGAAAUGUGCCUGUAAUAGUUUUCCUGUCUACGUAAAGUAGUAAACCAGCUGUCUAUUUAAUCUUGAUACAAGUUUUGCAUGUUUAAAAAAUUAUCUUUCAUCUUUAACAGUGAGUCCAUUUUUAGCUGUAAUCCUUUUCUCAAGCAUGACUUGGUUUUGCUUUCGUUUUCAUCUCAACAGUAAACCUGUUUGCAACUAGAAAACAUUGUAAUUUUUUUGUAACUUUUCUCUAGGUCGACUUGGAACAUAAUCAAUAUCGAUCUUUCCUAGGAUUGACUUGCCUGAUGCAAAUUUCCACCAGAACCGAAGAUUUUGUGGUAGAUACGUUAAAGCUUCGCGUUCAAGUUGGGCCAUAUCUUAGGGAAGUUUUUAAAGAUCCUACCAAGAAAAAGGUUGGUCCCUUCAACAUGCUCUCGCGUAGCUUUGUGAUAAAUCUUAUUUUUUCCCCCCCAAAUUAUGUUAACUUUUACUUUACUAGGUGAUGCAUGGAGCAGAUCGAGAUAUUGUGUGGCUUCAACGGGACUUUGGCAUAUAUUUGUGCAAUAUGUUUGACACAGGACAGGUUUUAUCCCUUGAAACUCUCUUUGAAAUUUGAGACUUUAUUGAUGAUCUUGUCUGGUUUUUUGUACAAUGGUUAAAUUUAUCUUAUCUUAUCUGCUUUUUUGUGGUCUAAUUUAUGAGUGUUGAUGCAAGCCUUUAUUCUACUAAAUUAGUUAAAUUGAGUUAUCUUUUGAUACUGUAUUUUCAAUUUUGUAAUUCAUCUUAUGUGUUUGAGUCAAGGUUUGGCUUCAAAAAGCCUUGUCAGUUACAUGUCAUCUCUCCCUUAAUUUUUUCAAAGUAGCUUCGCUUGUCAUUUGAACUAUUUGUAUCAUUAUUUUCAAUUUUGAUGUGGAACUUCCCCCAUUUAUUAAUGUUCUUUUGGUUGUUUUUGUGUAAUGCUCUUUUGUAAAUUUUACCGUGGCAUUUAUUUUGUUUUGCAUUUCAAAUAAUAGUGAGAAUUGCUUUUUUCAGUCCUAAGUUUAUUGGUUUAUUGUAAAUAUACUGUAUAUUUAUUUUGGUUUGCAUUGGGAGAUGAUCGUGGGAAUUUGUUUCUGUCUUUUCAUAAGGCCUCAAGAGUCUUGAAAUUGGAGAGAAAUAGUUUGGAGUAUCUUCUACAUCACUUUUGUGGAGUUAAUGCCAACAAAGAGUGAGUCCUUUUGUAAAGUACCUGAUCUGUUUCUCCUUAUAGUUUCCGCCCUUCAUCAUCCUAAGUCAACUCAUUGCAGAUACCAGAACGCAGAUUGGAGAGUACGUCCUCUUCCCGACGAGAUGCUGAGGUACCUUUGGUUCUCUUUUUAUCUUCUUUGUAACCUACUUUUCUAAUGAGUUCUCCAAAAAAAAAAAAAUUAUGAUCUGUUUGGCAUGAAAAUAAUUACUACUAUUUUAAAGUUCUUGUAUUCUUUGGAAAAGCAGAAAUCAUAUAUCAUCAUUUAAGUGUUUGGGGUUUCAUCUUUGCCUGUAUUUUUGUAGAAACUAAUAAUAUUUUUUUUUCUGUGGCUUAGGAUUUGAAUUGUGGGAAUAUCUAUGUUGGAAAUUAAUAAUGAGUGCACAUUGACUCUUGAUAGUGGACAAAUAUUUGGACAGCCAGGAAGGGGAAGGCCAACAAAAGUUUUGGGUUUUUAUAAGUUGAAGUUAUGAAUGGUUUUAUAAUUAAUUAGGUAUAGGUUUCCUCAUUUGGGUAUUUCUGGGAGAUCUGGGUUAUAAGAUUGAGAUAUUCCAGCCUGUAUAGAUAAUUGUAGGGUUGCCUGUGUUUGUGAUAUUCCAGCGCGUUUAUUAUUACUACUUCUUAUAUAUAUAAAAUUUUAGACUCUUUCCAUGUCUAACAAGAAGUUUUCAUGAUAUCACUUGGAUCCUACUCAUGCAGACUUGUAAGGCAUCCUUAGGUGCGGUUAUGUGAUCUGGUUUUUAUAAAUAUUUUUAAAUUUUUUGUCAGAGACAAUGCCUGUAGUGACAAUGUACUGACUUAUCUUUUGGUUAUUACCAAGCUGAAUCAGGUUGCCUGUGGUUUAUGACCAUACCAUUUGGUCUUAUAAAAUGUUCUUCCCUUCACCUCAUGUUCUCAUACUUUAAAGCAUGAAUAAUAUCUAAGGGCCUGAGAUUAUUUCAUUAAUUUUUCCCAAGUCUAGAUCCUUCCCAGAGAAAUGGAUGGAUUACCCACACACUCACCAGUAACAUGUCGUACUUUAUGACGGUUUUGCAUUACUGCUGUAUGUCAUUUAAUUUGCCCUUUUGAGGAUUCUUUAUUUUCUCUGGGCUGAUGUUACUUUGUGGUGCUUUUUUUUCCUAUUUAGUCAAAAUAUAUAUUCAUCAUAGAGUUUCUCUGUUAGAAUUUUCUUAGCUUUGAGGAUUCGUUAGUGGCAUAUCAUCCAAUUGAUUAUACUUGUGAUGACAGAUACGCUAGAGAAGAUACACACUAUCUGUUGUAUAUAUAUGAUAUAAUGAAAAUCAAGUUGUCCUCAAUGCCCAAGGAGUCUGAGAAUUCUGAUACUCCCCUGACAGAGGUAUGAUUUUUGCUUAACUGUUGGUGUUGUUUUGUAAAACUGUUGGGCAUCUCUAUGAUUAUAGAGAAUCCAUUUUUAAAUGCUUUUUUCAGAUCUUGUUGUGCCAUGUAUGACAGACCAUUGCGUCUGGAGAUUGGCAUGGAGCUUAAUAAUUACAAUGUUAAAAAUAGAACAUAAAAUAUUGGGAAGUAUCUAUCAUGACUAAUUCUUCAACUGUUUAAGGAAGAUAGUUUAAAUCCGAAUAUCCUUUUUUGGAUUGUGGACUAAAGAAAAUUGUCAACUCUUGAUUUCUCUUCCCAAGGAUGAAGACGUAUCAGUCUGUUGGCAAACACAUUUUUUGAAUUUUACUUUAGUUAUCUAUAAUUUUACCAUAUUGAGCAAACAUUUUGUUGCAAACAGGUCUACAAGCGCAGUUAUGACGUAUGCAGGCAGCUGUAUGAGAAGGAGCUUCUGUCAGAAAAUUCUUAUCUCCACAUUUAUGGGUUUGUCUUUGUCCCUAUUCAUCUCAGUUUAAGUUUUCAUUUAGUGGCCUCGCCUGUUUAAAAUCUUCUCUCAUACAGUUUUUGUUUGUUUCAUUCUUUACUUAGCAUUACUUCUCUUGUUUAAUUUUAGUUCUAUUUUGGACUUCGUAUUUAUGUGAUUUGACAGAACUUAAUCAGUGGAGCUUAUUUCUCUAUGUUGAAAUAGGUUGCAGGGGGCUGGUCUCAAUGCUCAGCAGCUUGCUGUUGUUGCGGUAUGUCAGUUCUUCAUGUGUUUUUCAAACUUUGCCACUUUUCUAUCUGGAUAUUAUAUGCAUGAGGAUGCUACUGAAAAUGUAUUAUCCGCAUGUUUUGUUUACUAGUUGCAUCUUCAAAUGAAACAAAGUCUUGACCCAGAAGAAUCCGUAACGCACCAAUAGUCACUAAUAGGAUUGUCUUGAGAAAUUUACUUCUAAAUUUUUGAGUGGAUGAUAGAAGGGUGGAUUUUAAGUAGCUGACACAUCAUUGCCAACUGCUGAUAGAGUCUGUUGCAUACUUGAGUAUUCUUGCUAGUUCUGGCCCCAUUGAUCCCACUUCAAUGAUUUGCAGGGUCUUUGUGAAUGGCGAGAUGUUAUUGCUCGUGCAGAUGAUGAAAGUACUGGCUAUGUAUUGCCAAACAGAACUCUGAUUGAAAUUGGUAGAAACCUGUCUGAAUUUCCUCCAACUCUCUCUUCUAUAUGUAUAUAAUCCAUUUGGUGAGUUAUGAGUUAAUCAUAUUUUCCUUUUGUGGUAAAAGCCAAACAGUUGCCUACUACUGCUGCCAAGUUACGUCGAUUGUUGAAAUCAAAGCACUCAUAUAUUGAACGCUAUAUGGGUCCGGUACUUAGCAUCAUAAAAAAUUCUAUGCAAAAUGCUGCUAAUUUUGAAGUCAUUGCUCAAAAAUUGAAAGAGGAACGUAUGGAAGUGGUAAGACCUGCAUGCUCAUGUUUGAUUGUUUUGUUAUAUCAGUGAUCCAAAUUGAUUAUUUUUCUUUGAGAAUUUGAUGUUAAUGCCUUCAAUGGAUUGCCAACAUACAUUGAUUUUCUUUUUCUUUUCCUUGGAUUUCGUUAGAAUCAGACCAACCAUCUUUUAAACGAGGAUGAUGGUCCAAAACCUUAAGGUCUACUACGAUGAAUUGCUACUUUUUGUGCAAGUUCUUGUAAUUCACUCAGCUGGUUGUCUUCGGCAAAUGAAAGGAAAAAGGAAAUUCAUCCAAUCCAGUUCUAUUGAAGAAAAAGAAUCCUAGUUGAUCUUACAAAAUUAAGCUUUCAUAAUUUGUUAACCCAUGGAAUGUGAUUAAAACUCAUGGACAAAGGAUGUUCCAGUUGAGAAAGGGAUUUGAGUGAUUUUUAGCAAUUAUCAGUGAUGUCUUCAUUAGAAGUAAGUUUAUGGUUUAUAGCAGUAAAUGCUCAAUAAUUAGGUACUCCUUGUAUAUUGGCUGACCGGGUCCCAUGUUUGUAGUAGGUUUUGUGAGCUACAGAGGAUUAACUUCAGUCAGUUUUCCAUGUUAUGGCUGUUAAGAGCUAUGUCACCAUUUUUCUUUGUUUACAUCAAACUAAUCUUUUUUUUUCCCCCCAUUUUUCCUUAUUUGUGUAGGCAUCAGAAGAAACUGAAGUUUUAGUUCUUGAUACUUCCUCAAACUUGAAAAUUCCGAAUGUUGGAAGGGAGAGUGUUGAUGGUGUUGAUGCAUUAGUUGGUACCACGAUGCCUCACCCACCAGCUUACACCCAGCUGAAACAAGAGCCUCCAAAGGUUGGAAGCAGUGUCGCAGAACUUGACAGAAAUGGACUAGGGUCUUUUGCGCAUCCUGGAGAAGCAAUUGCUUCAGAAAAUAAAGAAGCUACUCAUAUUUCAACACUUUCCAGCUCUGGUCAAAGUAGAGACUUGAAUGCUUGCAAGUCACCUUCACCAAGGGUUGUGAAUUUGAUGCCUUAAUGUGGAUUUUUUUUUUUUUUGGUUAAGAGGUUUAGCAUUCAAUUUCUUUUUCUUUGGUUGUGAAUUUGAUGCCUUAAUGUGGAUUGGAUUUUUUUUUUUUUUGGUUAAGAGGUUUAGCAUUCAAUUUCUUUUUCUUUAUAGGUUACUGAAGCUGCUGUUCAGGCUCUAAAGAAGCCGAACCGUGGUUUUGGAGCACUGCUGGGUAACCCAAAGAGAAAGUUUGAUGGCGAGAAAAAGGUGAGUUAAUCAUUUGCUAGUAAUGGUUGUUAAACAUCUGCUAUGUCAUUGUCACAUAGCAAAAUAACUAUUUCUGAGGCCUGCCAGUCACCCAGUUUGUGCAUGUGUGGUUGGGAAGAAGGCAACAAAGGAAGAAUAUAGUUAAACAUUUGCUAUGUUAUUCUUACAUAGCAAAAUAACUACUACUGAGGCCUGCCAGUCAGCCAGUCUCUGCAUGUUGGUUGCAAAGAAGGCAACAAAAGAAGAAUGUUUUUUUUUUUUGAAUCUUCAUUCCAUGAUUCACUUUCUUUUCAAUUUUUCUUGUCAACUAGCAUGUACAUUUGCCUUCUUGUUGCCUUUUUCGUUGCGUGAGUCAUUAUGAAUUAUGAUUUAUAUUAUACGGAAAUUGUGAGUGGGCAACUGUUGGGCUAUAAUCAAACAUGCAAAAUUUCGGGUCCCAUGACUAAGCGCUGCUAUCAUCUGGAUUUGUGUGUUGUUGCAUUUUAUAUUUGGUUAACACCCUUCUUAUUAUCCUCCUUUUGAUUGUUUGUUUGUCUUAAUUAGGACAAGGAAGCUAUGAAACUAGAGCAGAUUAAAUCCUCAGUCAAUCUUCCAUUCCACUCAAUUUUUGCAAGAGAUGAACAGUUAAAACCAGUUGAUGUGAUGAAGUCUGAACCAAAUAAGCCUGACAUUCCAUUUCCUUCAUCUUUUGGUAGUGGGCAACAAACGAAACCAAUCAUAGAGGAAUCCAAUAGAGUUACAGUAGUUUCCCAAUCAGAAGAACCCGCUCCGGCUGCUAGGUCUGAUACAGAAGAUAUUAUUACGUUGGAAGAUGAUAUAGAUGAAGAGGAACAAAACCUUGGUAAUUUGGAAACUGCAAGUGCGCCCGGAGAGGACGGUUCUGCAGGGUCUGCUUUGGAAAUGGGUAAACAAGAUGAGACCAUGUCUCUCUCUGAUUUAUCAACUAGUUUCCAGGAGUGCUUCCACUCUGCUAACAACAAUAGAAAACCUGGAAAGCCUGAGAGAUCUGAAGAACCUAGUGGUUUUUUGCAGCUUAAGCCGUUUGACUUCGAAGCAGCUAGGAAACAGAUCGAGUUUGGAGAAGAUGCCAAAGAAAAAUCAGCUGGGGUUGAUGGAAACAAAAGAAAACCAGUGAACUCUGGAGAUAAGAAAAAAGUUUCAGCUGUAGAUCAAGCUCAAAAAGAUGAUGGAACAAAAGAACUGUCACAAGGUAGACGACGUUCUGCUUUUCCUGCAACUGGAAAUCGAAGUGCAACAUUUCGCUGAGUCUCUGGUAUCAAUCAUGCUGCUCUGUGUAGCAGAAAUUAGUUGAAUUUUGGAUUUUCACAAUCAUGUUCUUGAUUUAAAUGGAAAUUAAUGCUGGUGGACAAAUUCGCAAUGGUUGUACGUAUAUUUCCAUUGCUUGAGGUCUUGUCUGAUACAGCAUGAGCUAACCUGAUCAUCUUUUGAUAUUCAGUAACAGGAGAGAUGUAUGGUCUGCAGGAGCCAAUGAUGGGCAAGUGAUACCUGAGGCCGGUGUCUAUUUGAAGGUAAAAUGGGCGAUGGUUCUAGGUUUCAUAUUAGGUUUUUGAUAGUCUUGAGUAAUUGCCCUACUAUCUUCAUAUUUAAAAAACAGGAUGGUUUCAAACCAAAGUGCGGUUUGUAAUCAAAAGCAUUUGAUCUUUUUGUUUUUGUAACUUUACGGGUUUUAUUUUUAGAAAAAUGGUUCUGUACUAUGGUUUAUUUCUGCCUUAUUUGAUAUUGUGGUCAUCUUAGGCUUUAUUUAGUGUAAUUUUUCAGUUAUAUGUUCGUUUGGGAAGAGGAAAUGAAGUUAAUUUUAUUUCACACUUGCAUAAGAAAAAAUUGUAAUGUUUAUAUUAUUUUUGUUAAAAUUAUUAUUUAAAAAUUAUAUUUGAUAUCUAUUAAUAAUUUUUAUUAUAAUUAUAAUUUUCUUUUUCCUCCAUCAUCUCAAUUGCUUAUAACUGCUGUUGAGGAUGGUUGGUGCGAUGUUAAUAAUUUGUAAAGGGCUUAGUAACAUCUGGUUCCGUGAUGUCGGCCAAACCAUAUCGAAGGGCUUAAUUUGACGGUCAUCGGGGCCUCCUGCCCAGCUGCCCUCCUUUACGGAUUCCGCUUCCGCAAAUUAUUUUAUAUAAACUGUUGUUACAUGAUAGUGGUGGCCGGAUGAAAAUACUACAUGACCAUAUAAUGCUUUCGGUGCAAUGAGUGAAAAAGAGAAAUUUUUAUGUAUUCUCGGAUUGAAGGAGAAAUUUUAAGAUUAAGAUUGUGGAGUGGUAGCAGGAGUAAAUUAUUUACUUACAUCACUAUGAGAGUGUGGAACGAAAAUUAGAAAUUAUGUAUUUUCUUUGUCUUAGAUUGAGAGUGAAUCAUUUUAAAUUAUAAUUUUAUCCUUAUUUAAAGAAUUGUAGUUUUUAAUUAUAAAGUAAAUAAAAAAAUAUAUUUGCACAAUAAAUUAUUUAUUUUGUUAUUAAUUUUAAUUAUAUAAAUUAAUAAUAAUUAUUAUUAUUCUUAAUCAUGUGAAUCAUGAUUUUUUUGUUAAUUUUNNNNNCGUACAGCAGAAAUAAAUAUGAUAUUUUUAUUUUUAAAUAAAUGUGAUAUUAUUUUUAUUUUUAUCAAUAUAAUUAUAUUAUAUUCAAUAAGGAAAUGAUAAAAAGAAAGAAGUGGGAGUAGAUUUCUACUUUUUAUUCAAAAACAAAAAUGAGACCCACAGAGUAGAAGCCUAACUCUCCUCCUUAGAUGAGUACUAAAACGUUUAAGUAGGAGAAAUUCAUAUUUUUGACUCCCACUCUACAAAGUAAACAUAAUAAUAAUAUCAUAAUAACAUUUGAUAAUUCUAUAUAUUUGUGACGUCAUAUCUCAUCAAUUGAUUAAUAAAAUUAAAUGGUGAUUAUUUAUGAAAGAACAAAAUUAAUUCAUGUGAGUUAUGGUUAAUAAAUAAAUAAAAUAUAAAAUGUUAAAUUUUGACUAUAAACUAAUUUCAAUAUCUAAUAAUUUAAAAGCUCAAUAGAGCUAUGAUAAAAACUAAAGGGAGGAUUCUUAAUCCGAUCCGGGAUCUUAAUCAGUUCAGGACCGAUCCACUUCCAGCUAUUACGCGUCAAACAUCCAUUUGACGAUUGACGUGUCACGCCAUCUCACUGUCCUCACAAGAAAACCCGUUACCUUCAAAAUGCUCCAAACCCAUCAACGCCGAAUUCAAAUCAAGCCCCAAGACCAAAUACAAAGCAAAAACAAAUAAACAAACGUCUGUUCAUUCAGUCUGAAAAAAUCAAAAGAAGUAAAAGGAUUGGCGAUGGCGAUGGCGGUUGAAGGAGGAGGGACAUUAUCGGAGAUAUAUCAAAGUGCGAAGAAGUUGCUGUUGAGAGCGAGAGACGGAGUUGAGAAACUGGAGAGACUGGAGAGCUCGACGUCGACUGGGGGAUACGAUUCGCCGGAGCUCUCCUUCGCUGUCAAGAAAGAUAUUUCUCAGAUCCAGUCACUCUGCGUCGAGAUGGAUCGCCUAUGGCGCUCCAUCGCCGACAAGUCUCAGCGCGAUCUCUGGAAGAGGUACCUAUUCAUUUACUGUUUUGCCACGUGGCACCGAAUCAACCUUGUGUCGUGUCCUAAUUGCUCUACGCCAGUUCGGUUGCAAUUCUGUGCAUGAACCGCAAUUUUUAUACUGAAUAUUACAUUAUUGAUUUUGUCUGAGCGACAAGGCAUGCUUCCACGUUUACUUGUUGCUUAGUUUUAUUGUUUUGCCUUCUAUGUUAACAGUCUAUAUAAGUUUUAUAUGUGUUACAGGCAUGUGUAUAUAUGGAAGUACAUUAAUAGCUGUUCAUGCUGUUGCUUGCUUGAGGUCGUUGGUAUAUUUGCAUUUGGAACUAAAUGUGCUUGGUGUGGGUUCGCUAUGUGUGUGUGUGUGUGUGUGUUUGUUUGCGUUUGAUGUUAAAUGGAAUUACCUUCUAUCGAGUCAGUGCCGCAAUUUGAUUGCUUGGUUUUUCAGAGGUGUGUUUUUAUGUUAUGUCAUGCAGAAAAGUUGAACAAGUAGCAGAAGAGGCUGAAUCAUUGAAAGAGAGUCUCGAUAAGUACUUUUUAAGAAAUCAGAGACGGAUAAAUGAAGCUAGAGAGAGGGCGGAAUUGCUUGGAAGAGCUGUAUGUUUAUUCAGUUUUCGUUAGAAGUUUUGAACGGAUUCUGUAGUGUUUUUCUUGUCUGGAAACGAGAAUUAGCUUUCCAAUCUGAUGAAUUUCUUUUAUGUUAUAGAAUGGAGAGUCGUCUCAUAUUUUGAGAAUUUUUGACGAGGAGGCGCAAGCAAUGCAGUCAGUACGCAAUUCAUCGAGGAUGUUGCAAGAAUCGUUUGCAACUGGGACAGCCAUUCUUGCCAAAUAUGCAGAACAAAGGGAGCAUCUAAAGGUAUUGACACUUAAGCUCCUUGUUUACAUGCACAGUUGCACACUAGAAAUUUUUGCCAAGCUCACUCAAACUGUGUGCAAACAAAGUUCACUAAACAGGGUCAAAUGAGAAAUUUACAUUCUUGUCAUGGUUGUAUUCUUAACAUGAUUAAAUAUUUAAAUGAGAACAAUGUUAGAUCCUCAAAGCAAUUAUCUUUAAUAUUGAUUUAUACUACUGCUAUAGAAAUUAUAAGUGUUUGCAGCACCUGCACAAAUGGCUGCAGAGAAUUUAGUCUGUCUAUGGUAAUAAUUUUAAAAGCUGGUAACUCCAAAUAUUCAACAGUGGCUGACAAAAACAAUCCUCAAGUUUUAAAGUAAAAGCAAACUUUGCUUUGAAAUAAUCAGUGACAACAAUGACGUGAAAGUGUCACCAACUGUUUAUAUAUAAUAUCUCCAAUAUUCCAGAAUUUAGUUUCAUAAUGGCUGGCAAAGACUUGGUUUUUUUAAGGUUUAAAGUAAAAACGAUCUCUGCUUUGAAAUGUUCAGUGGCAACAGUGAUGUAAAAUGAUCAGCAACUGUUCAUAUCUAGUAUCUCCAAUGUUUAGAAUUUUGUUUAAAAGAUCCGUUCCAUCCAUAAAAAAAUUUCAUUCUGAAUAAGCAACUCAAGAUUACACUUCGCAAGAACACACCAUCUACCAUUUCUCACAAAUUUAAAUGUCACAACCUAUGAUCCAUUACCAAUUGUGAGAAACGGCAGAUUAUUUGUUCUAAUGAAGUGUAAUUUGAGUUGCUUAUUUAAAAUGAAAUUCUUUUAUGGGUAGAAGGGAACUUCUAAACGAAGUUCUAGGAAUCAAAUUAGCUGUUUAGAUUUGAAUAGUUGGUGAUGCUUUGAUGUCACUGUUGCCACUGAUUCUUCUCGAAAAGAAACAGAUUUUUAAAUGGUAUUAUAGAGGUCACAGAAAAAAAAUAGUCAUGCUAUCAUUGAUAGCACUUGCCACUGAUGUUGAUAAUGAGUUUAACUGAUUAACUUCCAUCUUUGGUUCAGAAAGCACAAAGGAAAGCUCUGGAUGUUCUCAACACUGUGGGUCUGUCCAAUUCAGUAUUGAGGCUCAUUGAGAGGAGGAACCGUGUCGAUACAUGGAUCAAAUACGUAGGAAUGGUUUCUACAGUGGUCAUCUUAUAUUUCUUCUGGAGGUGGACUAGGUGAUCCGAUCUUCAUACUUAGCCACGCAUAGAUCAUUAAUCCGCAUACUUUGGAAUGAUUAAGUUUUGUUCUUGAUAUUUGCCCCAUAAGAGGGUUAAUGAGGAUGUACAAGGCAUUCUUUGAUGAGAGACUAUCCUCUUAUGAGGAUGUAUAAAGCAUUCUUUGUUAAGAGACUAACUCGUAUAGGACGGACUCCCAAAGAAGGUUCUUUGCAAUUCUUGAACAUUUAGAGCGAAGUUGACGAAACGUGCUAGUUGUUUUUGUAUUUUGGCAAAAGGGGAAUUACAGAGUUCGAAGAUUCUAAGAAAUGCGCCAAUUUUGUUUUGUUGUCAGAACGCAAAAACGGCCUGAUUGUGGACGGUUAAAUCCGGAAUUAUGUAGUGGAUUUGCAGUUAUUGAAGGGCAUGCUUGGGAAAAUAAUAUGGUCAAAUAAAAUCAAGAACAAUUAUAUUGUAUCUGCUGUUUAUGCGUCCGUACUUGAAGGUGUCCACGUGGCUGGUGUGUGUUUGUUAAACCAGUAAAAUUAAGUAGUGCGAAGUUCUGAUCGCCGCUCAUUGAUUGUUUUUUUUUUUAACUUUAAAUAAACUAUGAGAAAAGGCUUUGAAUGAGUCGCAGAUAAAUUAAAGUUUUUUUUUUCUUCUUCUAAAUUUAUAUCCAAUGGUUCGGCACAUGUUAUUUUCUUUAUUUUUAGUGCACACGGUAAACUAUUGAUAGUAUUUGGUGUAAACUCACUUUCAAAUCGAUGCUUCACGAAAAGUCCAAAUGACGCGCUAUGAAAGUAAUAUAGAUAACUAGGAUAAGUGGAAAUGAUAAACGAAUAAAAUGAAGUAAAAAGAAUUUUUCAUUUUUAAGGGUUACAAAAUAAGAAUAGUUAAUUACUUAAUUAGUUGACUUGCUAAAAAUUUUUCAUGCAAACAAAUGGUCUGGACUGGAAUCCGUUUAAAUGGAUAGGAAGAAAAUUAGAGUGUCGUAAAAGUACUGGAGUUUCAAAUCCCCUCACGUAGUCACAAGGAUUAGAAGAAAAUUGAAUUGUUAGGCAAAAUGAAAAAAAAGAAAAAAGCUUAACAUUUUUAUUUUCUAAAAAAAUGUUUUUCUUAGUUGUUUUGUUUUUUAAUUUUAAAUAUAUUUAAAAUUUUGAAAUUAAUAAAUGACUUUGAAAACUUGAGUGUGCUCGAGCCUCGAGAUCUACUCAAAUUCUUUUACAUUAUUACAUUAUGAAAAAUUGUAUGAUGUCGUGAUUAAACUAUUGUAUCAAUACUAUGAUAAACAUAAAUUUUAGAAAUUAUAUAUAAGACUAGUAAGUGAAAUGUAAAAUAAAUUAAUUAAUAUAAGAGUGGUAAAUAAUGUUUUAAAAUUAUAAACAAAACAAACACUUAUAAAAAUAACAUAAAAAUUAUAAAUCAACAUUAAAUUUUAAUGUAAAAAUAGUUUAUUUAUUUAAUUUAUUCAAGCAAAGAAAAACUUUACUCAUCAAUUGAAAACAAAAAUUUUGUAUUGAAAACAAUGGGAAUAAGUUUUAUUAAUUGAUUUAACCAUGAAUUUUAUAUUCAUGUCAGGAUAUUUAUAAACUGUUUUUUUUUUUCAUUUUCUAUCAUAGUAUUUGUUUACUAUACAAGUUGAUUAAGUAAACUUAUUAUUAUUAUUAGUAUUAUUAUUAUUAUUUAUGUGGAUCAAGCCAAAACAAAAUAAAAAUACAUUUGAAUAUUACUAGACAUAUAUGGAAUAUUAAUACAAUUGAAUCUAACUUUCAGUUUUAUACAUAAUUCAUCUAGUUUCAAAUUUUACUUCUUAUACUAAAAGAUCAUUUGAGGUUGCUAUCGAGGAGGUUUAAAAUGAUGCAAAAUCACUUAUAUCACAAAUAAAAUAUGAAAAAAAAUUUCUAAAAUUUGAUUUUGAGAGUAAGUUUUAUCCUUAAUAAAAUUCCACAUAUAUUAUCACGUCUAUUACAUAACCACAGAAUUAUCAUUAUUUGAUUUAGAAAUAAAAAUAGUAAAUAUAUAAUGUAAUCAUUAUUAUAGUGAGUUUUUAUUUAUUUUUUCAAUAACUCUUAUAAUAUUUACUUAUUUUACAUUCAUUUACAACUCUUCUAUUUUACUUUUAUAAUUUAUAUGUUAUUUUACACUUAAUGUUGAUGUACAAGUUUUAUAUCACAUUUGUAAACAAGUUUUACUUUAUAUUUACAUGUAUUAUGUUUUAUUUACUUAAUUCAUGUUUUAUUUUAUACUUAAUGUUGAUUUACAAGUUUUAUAUUAUAUUGAUAUAAGUUUUUAUUUUAUUUACUAAUGAUAUAUCAACUUACCACUGUUAAUUUACUUAUUUUACCUUCAAUUUGCAAGUCUUGUGUUUCAUUUACAUAAUUUAUUAUGUUUUAUUUUACGUUUAAUGUUGAUUUACAAGUUUUAUGUUAAAUUUACACCUCUUAUAUUUUAUUUACACAAUUUAUGUUCAAUUAUAGUAUAUUAUAGAAUGACUCAUUUGACAUUACAAUACAAAAUUAUAAACAUAAAUAGAUGUAUCAAAAAGUCUUGUCGAAAAAUGAAUCCACCUUAAUACGGACCUGUCUCAUUGUUUUAUAAUUAAAGUUGCACACUCUUACAAUGAACUUGAAGAAAUUGAAUUCUCAACAUCAAUAAUGAGGUGUCUAUUACUAAUAAUAGUUUAUAAAAAAAAUAAAAAAAAUAAAGAAAUAUGAUUAAAUUGAUCAAUGUAAUUUUAUUAAAAAAAAGAAGCAUUUUUAUUACAAAAGCAAUCUCAAAAUAUAUAUUUUUUGUAGUUACAAAAAAUCAUGACCUAGUGGCGACCUAGUGGCGACCUGGUGGGCGUAUAUACAAAAAUCAUAAUAUUUUUAUACUGAUUACAUAAAUUCGGUGAUCACAGACCACAGUAAAACCCUGAAACCGCCCAACGGGGUUCUUUACCAGAGGAAAAAAGGGAGGAAAGAAAAUGACUUUUUAAUAUAACGGCACGGGUUUAAGCCAAAAACGGUGGAAUCAAAUCAUUGACACGUUCGUGCGAUGCCUUCACUCCUCAGGCAAACCAGACUCCCGCAUGUGAAUGCCACGUGAACGUAGCUUCUUCACAUAAUUUUUACCCCAAUGUCCAAAUUACCCCUUAUCUUUUACUCCUUUUUUUUUCUUUUUAACUUUGCCCGAUUUUGAAGUCUAUUACGUAUUGCGGACUGCUGCCCUCGCUUGACGUGUUUUUUCUCCUUUUUUUUUUUUUUCCCUCUCCAAACUAUUCUUUUCAAUUUUAACUAAAUAAUUUUUUUUUUUAUUACGAACAUCAACUUAAAAUUUAGGUUAGUUAGACACUUCCCCACUUCAUCCUUAAAGUCAAGUAUUCAUAUCUAUCUGUCUAUGGUGAAUAAUUUUUUUUAUUUUUUAAACUACGAACAAGUUAUCUUUUUUUUUUUUCUUUUCCAAUAUCACUAUUUAUCCACUUUUAGUUUAAUUCUUUCUGCCUAAGAUGAUCAAUUUAAAUUAAAAAUGGGAUUUUGAAAUUAUUUACUAAAAAUCAUGAUUGUUCUUUUGACGUAUUUGAAUAAAGUUUAUUUGGAAAAAUUAAUGUAAAAAAAAAAAAUGUUGGAAGAUUACGACAAUGGAAAUGUAGUCUCUGGUGAAAUGCUCUGAUUCAAUCAAUCAUCAGCAAAUGCGGUUCGCACGUUGGCAAUGGAACUCGUGAUAGCACAACCGUGAAAUGUCCUUCAUUUGGGAGUCCACGUUAAUCACAUGUGGGUCCAUCUUGAGUGCUUUUGUGCUUUACAAUUAAAAUAGACAGACAGGCUGAUGACCUGACAAUUUCGAGCCUGAUAAAGCCCCUUCAUCAACUUGAUCAGAAGGACAGGACAGCUAUUAAUAGAAAAAAGCAGCAGACUAGUACUAAUCGAGAAGUCAAACAGAUAAAAACUAAAACUAAAUAAUCUAAUCUCCUCCUAAUUCACUAAAUUAUUUUAUUUCUAUUGGUAUAAUUAAUUAAUUGAUUGAUUAAUCAAACAUGCCUUCACAAUUAAAUAGUUUCAACAGUGUAAGUUGAACCACGUGUCAAGCAAAAGCAACCAUCAUUUAUUAUAAUUUUUUUUUAUUUUUUUCGAAAAAGGAAAAAUCAAAAAACAAGGCAAGUUGAUGCCAACAGGAUCUGAUCCGGAAGGGUAACCGAGUCAUUUCGCCGUCAUGCAUGCCUCAAUCCGGAUUGCCUGCCCGCCCCCACGUUGGAAAACCAGGGACGCAUCGAUAAGCAGUUUCAACACCCAAAACACAAACUUGGGGGCGGGAAUUGCAAAACGAAAUAACAGCUUUUGCUUUUGCUUUAAUUUUUUUCCGUUUGUUUUCUUAAAAAGAAAGAAAAAAAAAAAUACUCCCAGUUCCACAAUAGAGCCCCUGGUUUUGCCUAUUUCUUUAAUCCUUUUACGCAGACUCAUGAUAAAUAUCUCCAUCUAUCAGUCAGUCCAUACGGUUUCCUUUCAUCACCAACCCCACCAACGAAAACAAAAAAAACAAAACAAACCCCCUCUUCAGAAAUAUAAUUAUAAUUUUCUUUUUCUAUUGAAUUAAGCUUGUUGGGUAUAAUUUGCUAAUUAAUCAAAGAUCGAUCUAUGACGACGGAAGCGGUCAGCAAGGUUGGAUAUGCGCAUAGUAAGGUUGCUAUGAAGAAGAAGAGCGGUUAUCGAGGUCGAUGCAGGAGAAGAAAUCACGACAGAUAUGCACCCGAUAAUAAAACGGUGCCGAUGGCGCUGCAGCGUCUGUUUCUUUCUUGCAAAGACGUCUUCAGAGGCCCUGGAACCGUUCCCGCUCCUUCUCAUGUCCAAAUGUUGUGCUCUAUUCUUGGUAAGUGUUUUUUUUCUUACACUUCAUCAUUUCUGGUCCAAUUUUCUUGUUUUUCAUUUGGCCGCUGCACUCGCAUGACGUGUAUGUUGUGAAAUCUGAACCCAUCAUCAUCCUUCAUCCAUGCACAUAUAUAUUAUCAGUCAUGAGAAAUUUUGAAUCAGCCAUUAAAAAAAGAAAAAAAAAAAGAAAAGGAAAGAUUCAAUAUUAUCAAAUCAAUACCAUUUUGUUUCAUGAGAUGAUCUAUGAAAGAUGGGAAAGGAGCACUGCUCCUUAUUUCAUUUCCUGUCACGUCUGUGUUUCAAUCAAUUGUAAUAAUACAUAUAGCCACGUAAAAAGCAAGGGGCAAUACUCUUUACAGCACGAAAACCUUCUCAAAAAAGGGGCUUUACUUUAUUGGCAGUAAUGAAUUGUUUUGAGCAAUUCAAUUCAUCAGUGCACUUAUCAUGUUUACGUAGUUUGUCAAUUUGGUUCCAGUUUUUGGUUCUUUUUAUUGGAUUCAGUGCCGAAAUGUCAUGUGUGUUCAUAGGACGUACUGGGAAAAGGAUUAGAAAUCUGUACUGAAUUUUUUUAAAUUUUGGGGGGGGGUUUUUUUUUGGGGUGGAUGGGGUUAUGGAUCUAAGUGGAUGGUACCAAUUUUCAAAAAUGUAGUUUAAUUAACUUUCCAGUUGAAAUUACAAAACCAAACCAUCCGAAAUGGAUUCUUCGAGAAAAGGUGGGUUCAGAAAACAAAGUGGUUGCUUCUAGGUGAAUCCAGAUUUUUUUCACGCGGACACAUGGUACCUUUUGGUUGAUUACCCAGCCACAGUGUUGCUUGAGGGGACAAAAAUAUCAUAUUUGUUUUUUUUUUUUUUUCCAAAUUCCUUUUUAAUUCGUAACUCAAUCUCAUGGGAUCCUACUCAGCAGCCAUUGUGAUUAUUUUUUUUACCUGACGACGCAAAAAUCUUUGCAUUAGAAAGGAUACAUAAGCACAUUUGCCUACUGUUGCUACGUGUACAUGUGCAAUGGUUUGGUUGCAAAACUGGAAGCAUUGGCACAUUAUAUAUAUGUGUGUUUUUUUUUUUUUAAUAUGUAUAAAUGCAUGGAUCAUGACACUUGGCUAAGUUAAAAUUUCCAUUUUCUCGUUAUCAUAAAGAUUGCCAGUGACUCAAACAAGCUUUUCUUUUUAAAUUUAUGAUGCUACAGAUGAAAUGAAGCCAGAGGAUGUUGGGCUUAGCAGUAAGUUACAGUUACUUAGUGCCAAAGAUGCAAUGAAAGGGACGCCAAUUGUCACAUCCACUACAAUAUACAAAUGCCAGAACUUUUCGGUAAAGACAUAAGCUAUUCAUAUUGGGCUAAAUUAAAUUCUUUUAUUAUCGUAUACUAAUUUGUAAACCAUACUAAUUAAUAGUGCAAAUUUGAUUUAGAACUUGAUAGAUUACCUUUUGGAUUCUCUUUUGUGCAGUUGUGUCUUUUCUUUCUUCCUCCAACUGCUGUGAUCCCCUUGCACAACCAUCCGGGAAUGACUGUUUUUAGCAAGCUUUUGCUCGGGACAAUGCACAUAAAAUCGUACGAUUGGGUCGAUCCUGUUGACGCAAACGAUUCUGCAGCCCCCACAAAACGUGAGUACCGCUUACCUUAUACAUAUAUGUCCAUGUAUAAUGCACACACGAACACACACACACACACACUCACAUAUCAAAACAACACGAUAACUUGAAUGUGCUAGCUCGGACUAGGAUGAUCAUUUGUGACUGAAAGUGAUGAUUUAAUUAAUUUGCAGCGCGAUUGGCGAAGUUGAUAGCCGACAGUGAUUUCACAGCACCUUGCAACACUUCUGUGCUAUAUCCAACAACAGGAGGCAAUAUCCAUGAAUUCACAGCCAUUACGACAUGUGCCGUGCUCGAUGUGCUUGGACCUCCCUACUCUAAGGACGAUGGUCGGGACUGCUCAUAUUACAAGGAGUUGCCACUUCCCGCGGUUCCAAGUAAGCGAAACAAAACCACUUGUUACUGAUUAAAAACAACCUCGUUUAAACCUCCUCGAGUAGCGCUUUCAGAGGUCUUACCAAUUAAACCCACCGAUUUUGUUAAUGCAGAUGGAGAGAAUCAGGAGGCAAAAGAGGAUGAUGGUGGUGAGAGUUGUAGGUGGUUGGAAGAGAUUGGGGUGCCAGAGAACUCACACAUGGAUGAAAUUGAGUACUUGGGACCGCAGAUAAUUGAGUAGUAGCUGUAACUAGCUUCAGCCCACAGUCGCGUGAUAAAAAAAAAUUUCAACGCAUUAUCUUCUUUUGUUUCAUAGCUAGUCAAUGGUUUUGUAUUUAUAUAUACACAUAUAUUACGUUGUUUCCUGACCUGAGUUUUCACUAUGUUAAUAGCAAAAUUUCAUUUCUUUUUCUUUUUUCUCUUUAAUCCCGGUAUCUUCUUUAAUAACUUGAUUACUUGAGUACACUGUACCAUUGAAAUCAUGGUUCAUGCCAUAGUUCCCUUAGAGGAAGGUCCAAACCCGGCUUAGGAGAAAUGGAGGUUUGGGCUGUCGAGGGCCUUGGUGUUGCUAUGUUCCCAAGAGAUGUUUACUUGGGCUGUCGAGCGCGCCGAGAAGUGCUUAAUAUUACAUCAAUGGGCCGGGCUUGUAACCGACUACUACACAUUCCCAUGGCGGCAAUCCUGAUCAGUAAUUAACUUGGGAUUUUGCAUUCAAUGAUUGCCACAAUAAUAUCAGCAAACUUUUCAGAAGAACCUUAAUUGAUAAUUGUCAUUUUGCAAUCAUAGGUUAGUUGAUGGAUAUACCAUGGGCCCUGAAAAUUAAUUAAAAUAUCAAACAUUGUAUGCUCCUAGGUUGGAAAUUUUUCAAAAUUUUCAAUAGAAAAAUAACCUCAAAAUCAAUAUUUUACAUGUGAAGAUCUGUUUCAUUAACAAGCGCGAUGGGCCAAACGGAGGGAGCCAGGAAUUUUAAGCUGUUCAUAUUUGACGCCCUAAUUUGGGAUUUGCUAAUACGGAAAAACUUUGAGCUGCUCACUAAUUUAUAUCUUGACUUCGAGAAUCUGCGCAAUUACUAAUUAGUAGCCAUCAAUAAUUGUCAAAAAUCAAUUUUGAAUUUCGAUAUUUUUGAAUGCAUUGGUGUUACGUGUUUCUCCAUACGCGUUAGUAAAUUUGAGAUGGUGUAAAUUUGUAAUAAACUAAUAAUAUCUUCUUUUUUUUAUAAUUUGAAAAUCAACCCAAUCUGAUUCUCUAAAUUAACAAGAUCAAAUUGACUAUCCAAUGUUCAUUCACUAGGAAAGUCCUAAAGGUCCCUCUAAACUAGAAAGUUACUCAAAUCUAUGGCCAAAAUAAAGUCUUCUUAUAAUUAAAGAAACAACCCAUCUUUUUUUAAGAUCUUCUGACAAUGAAUUUUCAAUUAUGAUGGGGUUUGAAGUUUUGAAAUUUUCUAAGAAUUAUUAACAACUGAAAAGAGAAAGCAAAAGAAAAAGGACGAUGUGAUAUGGCAUGGGACAUGGACUUCCCACCACCUUUACAUUGCCAUCAUGCAAAAAAAAAGCUCUCAAUUUUAUGCUUAGCUUGUUCUUGUUUUCUUUCUUUUAUCACUUCUUUAUUACGUGGGUCUUGAAUUCUCAAUAGUUUCUAAUUGUUAAAAAACUCCAUGAAAAUUGCUUUCCCUAUUGUAAUACCUCCAUUAAGGAGAAUGAAGGGUUAAAAAUGUACCGACAGAUACUGGAAAAUUAUUGAAUGAAGUAAUCAACAUGAUUGUUCACUGACAAUAUUAUAUUCGGAAUAAUGAUAGCUGGUUGUUUUGGAUUGUUUUAGAUGUUGUAUUAGCCAAUUAGGCAUAUUGGUAUAUAUUAUUAUUAUAUGAAAUACUAUUGCCUUUUUUAUUAGCAAAAGACUUUCGGUUAAGAUUUUGCUUAAUUACACGAUUGCAUCGUGAUUGUUUUUAAGCUUCAUCAUUCAAUUCCAAAACUUAACGUAACAAAAGAUCUUACUAACAAUACUAUUUUAAUACCCAUUUUUUUCCCAGUCACGUGAGUGUAUAUGAUCUCCAUAUCUUUGGUACUAUAUCUAAAAAAUUUUUCCAAUCAAAUUAAUUAACACCCGCAGCUACAUUUAAGCAAAUUGUUCUAAGCCGCUAGGGUUUAAUCUAGUAGUUAAAACACAACCCUUACAAUUGUGAGAUUAUGCGUUCGAACCCUCACAACAAUACAUUGUGGGGGUUUAAUUUUCUUCUCUAAUUUGAGUGAAAGCAGUCUCAUAAAAAUAUGGAUUGUGCUUGUCCCAAAAUUAUUUAAUUAUAAAUAUCAGUAUACUAAUCUCAUAAAAUAUAAGUAAAUACGAGUUGGAAUAUGAUCAAUAAUGUCAUAUAAUUUUUUUUAUUUAAAAAAAAAAAAGCAAAGUGCUAUGCAAUCCACUUGAUAUUACGACAAUAACUGGCACACUAAUGAACAACUAGUAAAUUCAUUUUAAAAGAAAUAACACCCCAAAUCAUUAAUAUUUAAAAAGAAUCAUUUGAAAAAAUCUUAAAAAGUGUUCGGCAAUCCACUUGUCAUUGUAACAAUCACUCACACGCCACUGAUCAACUUUAGUUUCAUUCAGUAUGCCGAGAAAUAGAAUUUAAAAAUAACAACACCUCAAAAUCAUACAUAUUUGAGAAGAAUCACAUGAAAAUUGAGCAGGUCAAAUAGUUGUGUAUAGAACAAAUUUUUUCAUGAGACAGGCUGGAUAGCAAGAAAUGGAAGCCAACUGUGAGUUUCGGUCUUUCAUAGAAUUUGGCCUAACGUUGUCACAUUCACUAUUCACGUACCCAUAUUAUCAUCAUCCCAGUGGGCACUGGCACUGCUGAGUGCUGACCCAAUAGAACAAAAUAAUAAUAAUAAUAAUAAUUCCCACUUGCUCAAUAUUUUAUUCUUUUCAUUUUAAUUGUCAUUUUCCCAAGUAAAUAAAAACCUUUUAUGCAAUUAAUUCUGCUUGUCGGGUGGAUGAGGUGGUUCAUCACGUUCAAAUGUUCAAUCAAUGACAAUUUUAUCGCAAAUUCCAUUGCUUAUAAUUGUUGUAACCAAACAAAUCCCUGGUGCCUGCACUAACACCUUAGCUUCAUUUUCAAUUAAGGCGGUUUUCAACAACUUAUUAACUUUAUUUUUAAAGAAAAAGAAAUCCCAAGUGUUUUUCUCACUAAUUGAUUGCUUAAAAAUACUUAAGAAAAUUACCCACAAAUAAAUUAACGAUAAACAUUUAGUACUAGCUUAUGAUUUUUUUGGGGGGGGGGGGGUUUCUAAUAAAAUUUGGAUUAUUUGGGUUUUAUAUUUGAGAAAAGUUAAGUUACGACGAUCGAUAAUUAUAUACCCUUAAAUAAUUAUUAUCUAAUUUGGAUAUUUUUAUAUCUUAAUGAGUUCGUGUUGAUUUGCCAAUCUUACAAGUCUUUAUUUUACAAAAUAUAGAUAUUUAGAUUGAAAAAAACAUAUAUAUAUAUGUAUGACAGUAUGAGUAGUGUAUAUGUUACAAGAUAUUUUAAAAUUUAAUACUUUAGUUGAGAAAUGCCAUCACCCUCAACUACUCGGUUACAAGAAUAUUAUUGCGUUAUUUAAUAUUCUGUUAUCGAUUGCUUUAUUAGGAAGAAAUAAUGAAAAAUGGGACAUCCAUUGCUAAAGUACAACACAACAUUGUUGACAAGUGAGUCCCCCUUGAAGUGACAACUAUUUUUUUUCUUCCUUAAUAAAGGACGAGCUAUGUGUAUGUGGUUUUGCCGUGCAACCCAAGUUUCAAUGUCUGUAUCAUUUAUAGGGGGAAACCUUAGGUGCAACCCACACACGCCACUCGGCUUUUGGCAGCCUGGUUGAGAGGGCAGCAGUUAUUUUUGUGGGGGCUAAAACAUUCAUUCUUUUUUUCUUUUGUAAUUUUUCAUCUGUGAGGAUUAUUUGUCAAUAUAGAAAUUUGAUACUGUAAUCAAUAUUAAAAAAAAAAAAAAAAGUACCCACACAUACACACAUAUAUCUAAGAAAAUAAAUGAUGAAUACUAUGUAAGAGAAAAUUUGGUAGUUACAGGGUGAACACUUUCUUAUCAAAAUAAUAAUAAUAUAAUAAAUUAGAGACCCUCCUGAAUAUUUCCAACAUGCUUCUCAAAUUGCAUGAGUGUUGGAUUCAUCAACUUAUUAUUAUUAUUAUUAUUAUUAUUAUUAUUAUUUUAUCAUCAAUUGAUGUGCAAAAGGGUGAUGUUAUCAGUUAUCACGGCCUCCUGAGAAAAAAAAAAACUUUAAAUUCAACGUGAAAUGAAAAAUGUAAGGAAUCAAAUCGAAUUGUCAAAAUGAAAUGAGAGGCGAACAAUUUAACUGUUCAGAAAAGAAGCAAAGGCGCCAAAAGCAACGGACGGAACAUAAAAGUGGGUCCCACGUUUCAAAGGGACAAAACCAGAGAAAGCCAAAGCCCACCCCGCAACGAAAGUGAUGCCAAAGCUUACAAUUUGUAUUACCUUAAAAAUUCUGUUCGGUUCAUUUAAAUUUUAUUAUAAAAUCAUUUUCAAAAUUCCAAAUUUUAUAACCAAAAAAUUCGCUGCAUGCAGCGAGAAAGCAGCAAGUGAAGAAUAAAGGGUUCCCCCCGUCAGCAAGAAUCUUUUCUUUUUUUUUUUCGCUUUUUUUUUUCCCUUUGUUUUUUAAGAAAGCAAAAAUUAAGAGAGCAUUAGUUUUGCUGUCAUGAUAAGUAUGGUGUUCAAGAGAGUGUCGGCUAGUGGGAAGUGUUUUGUCAUUCAGUCAUUGUGUUUGCAAUUUUCUUAUGAACCCGUGUCAAUAAAAUGUCUUGGCUUGUGAACAGAAACUGAAAUUGAGCUUCUUUGUGUGUCAGUGAGAUUUACAGUGUCUGUGCAUUGAAUGUAUGGUUGCUAAAUUUUUGCUUUUUUCUUCUUCUUCUUUUCUUUUUUCCCCCCGAAGUGGAUAGUCAAGAAAUAUGAAGAGAUUAUGACUUGAGAUUUUUUUUUAUUUUAUUUGAAGUGAUGAUCUGAAUUAACUGGGCUUUGGUUUCUAUGGUAGAAGUUUUGUUCUAUUUUGUGAGGGGAUUUCUUCAUGAGUUAGGCAAGGAAUUAAUUCGUUUUGAAGUUAGAAUUUAUGUGUUCAAAGUUAGUUUCAAGUGACCUUUCUAAAGUCUUUAAGGUAUAUUGUUGGAAAUUAGCUGGCUUUUUUGUUCAAUCAGUCUCUCAAGAGGUAAGCUCCUUAUGAUCCUUUAGAAGUUUUUAGUUAUGAUAAUGUCGAUUGAUAAAUUAUCUGUAAUUUGUAUAAUAUUUGCAGAGUUUCUGUUGAUCUUGGGAGCUGGCGCUUCUGUAAUUGAGAAGCUAGAGGCAUCACUCUGUUAUCCCAGCGGAUUUUUAAAAGCUCUAGAAUCCCUUUGUGAUUUUCUCUAGUGUUCCUUUUUGUAUGCAUUGAUGGCAAGAGCAUCCAGAUUCAGUCAGUGUGCACUUCUGGUGCUUGCUUACAUUUUGCUUCAGGUCAAUCAUUCGGAGCAACUGCAGUCUUCUCAGGCUCAGACCCUUUUGAGGAUUCAAGGGCUUUUAAACAAUCCAACUGUUUUAAGCAGCUGGAAUAUCACCACUGAGUUCUGCAAUACAGAACCAACCUCGUCUUUAACUGUAGUAUGCUACGAAGAGAGCAUAACCCAGCUGCAUAUAGUCGGCAACAAGAGAGCUCCUACGUUGCCUCUAAGCUUUUCCAUGGAUUCCUUUGUGACGACUCUUGUUAAGCUUCCGGACUUGAAAGUCCUCAGGCUGGUUUCUCUAGGUCUAUGGGGUCCCUUGUCUGGUAAAAUUUCACGUUUAUCGUCACUGGAAAUACUUAAUAUGAGCUCAAAUUUCCUGAAUGGUUCUGUACCUCAGGAGCUUUCAAUUUUAACUAGCCUUCAAACACUCAUACUUGAUGAAAACAUGCUUGCUGGUCGGGUUCCAGAUUGGUUGGGUUCAUUACCGAUUUUGGCUGUUUUGAGCUUGAGGAAUAAUAUGUUCAAUGGGACUUUGCCUGAUUCGUUUAGUUACUUGGAGAAUCUUAGAGUUCUUGCGCUUUCAAACAAUCACUUUUACGGAGAAGUUCCUGACUUCAGUGGUUUGACUUACCUUCAAGUACUUGACUUGGAAAAUAAUGCUUUGGGACCUCAGUUUCCUAAAGUUGGCAAAAAGUUGGUUACAAUGAUACUGAGCAAAAACAAGUUCAGGUCUGCCAUUCCUGCUGAAGUGAGUUCCUAUUAUCAGCUUCAGCGGCUAGAUCUCUCAUCUAAUAGAUUUGUUGGACCAUUCCCUCAAGCACUUUUAUCCUUACCUUCUAUUACUUAUUUGAAUAUUGCUGAUAACAAACUCACGGGGAAGCUUUUCGAUGAUCUUUCUUGCAAUCCCGAACUUGGAUUUGUGGACUUGUCAUCAAAUCUGCUGACUGGACAGUUGCCGGAUUGUCUACUUGCAGGUUCUAAAAACAGGGUUGUCCUGUAUGCUAGAAAUUGUCUAGCAGCUGGAAAUGAAAAUCAACACCCGCUUUCCUUUUGUCAGAAUGAGGCUUUGGCAGUGGGAAUUUUACCUCUGCAAAAGAAGCAGAAACAAGUUUCCAAAGCAGUUCUUGCGUUGAGUAUAAUAGGAGGAAUUAUUGGGGGAAUCUCACUUUUUGUGAUUGCUUUCUUGCUUGUUAGGAGAACUAAGUCCAAGCAAACAAUGAAGAAGACUCCAACAAGAGUAAUUCAAGAAAAUGCUUCAACUGGGUACACCUCGAAGUUCCUCUCAGAUGCAAGUAAGGCUUCAUCUCCCCUUAAUCCCCCUGCCAAGUAAUUCCCAUUCUGUGUUUCUGUUGAAAUCAAGCAUGAAUCUGGGCACACCUCAAAGCUGCUACUGGAGUCAUGCAUUGUGCAAGCUUUAAUGUAUUUAUGCAUGUGUCCACACACAAUGUAGUGUUGCAUUUUUAGGACAUAGGACCGUAAGUUUUAAUUGAAAGGUUGUCUUUGAAUACUCUAUUUUGAUCAUCCAACUUGAAGCCCUCACAUAGAAAUUAUUGACCAGUCAGUUGCAAGAAAUCGAGUGAUGAUUGUGUUCUUGUCUUAAAGCCAGUUAAUAAUAUUCUUGAACUGUUAAAUUGUUGUCCAAGUUUUAAGCUAUAUUAAAAUUGACCAUAUGAUCGUUUGUGCCCCCUGAAGGGUAUAUUUCUCAAACAAUGAAGUUGGGAGCACUUGGUCUUCCAGCUUAUCGAACCUUUUCCUUGGAAGAGCUUGAGGAAGCUACAAACAACUUCGACACCUCUGCUUUCAUGGGUGAAGGUUCUAAAGGGCAGGUAUGCUACUCUGGUACAAUAUAUAUAUGAUGCCUACUUUCAUGUCGCAAUGAUGCACAGUAUGACAGUUCUGACAAUUUGUAUUUUCCCUUUGCGUGAUCCGUUCAAAGAACGGAAAAGGAAAAGUUGGUCCAGCAUUUCUCUACACCUCACAUAUUUCAUGCUUGCAGAUGUACAGGGGUCGCCUGAAGAAUGGUACCUUCAUUGCCAUUAGGUGCCUUAAAAUGAAAAAAAGCCACAGCACUCGAAACUUCAUGCACCAUAUAGAGCUGAUAUCAAAACUCAGACAUUGUCAUUUAGUCAGUGCUCUUGGACACUGCUUUGAAUGCUACUUUGAUGAUUCAAGUGUUAGCAGAAUAUUUCUCAUCUUCGAAUACGUUCCAAACGGCACACUAAGGAGCUGGAUAUCUGGUAAUUCAUGAAAAUCUUUAAUUCGUUUCUCAGGGUGGAGGAUAUAAAGUAAUUAAAGCCACUCUUUUGUACUCCUCUGCUCUAUAAGCCGGCUUUAUGGGGUCUUCAAAAGUAGCUGUGAAUUUUUUAACCUUGAUCCUGCGUGUAGUCAUUGAAUAAAGUAAUCAAUCAGUCUAGAUAGUUCAGUUUCCUGCAAGUAAUUAAUUUACUUAAAGAGAAUAAUUCGUGGUUUUUAAAAUAUAUUGUUCAAAGUCAUCAAGAAAAGACCGAAUCGGAAUCAUGUUCCAUAGUAAUCACAAGAAAUUACUAUUUUAUGUCCUCCAUCCUGACUUGUUGUUAUAUCCAGUUAAUCAAAUUAUGCCUUUAUGUUCUGGCUGGUUUCAAAGUCUUAGAUACUUUUAUGCAGAAGGGCAUGCCUGGCAAUCACUUACUUGGACACAACGUAUAUCAGCUGCAAUAGGGGUGGCAAGGGGCAUACAAUUUUUACAUACAGGGAUUGUGCCUGGUGUAUUUUCAAAUAAUUUGAAAAUAACAGACAUUCUACUAGAUCAGAACCUUGUUGCAAAAAUUAGCAGUUAUAACCUGCCUUUAUUAGCAGAAAAUGCCGAGAAGGUAAAAAGGAGAGAAUCUUCCUUUUCAUCAUUCUGUCCAUCUUUUCCAGUGCCAUGCACUUUUCAGUUGAUUUGUAGCUUGCUUCAUCUGUGCAGGUUGGUCAUGUAACCCCUUAUUCUGGAUCCAUAAAUCCUACAAAUAGUGCAAGGUAGGUAAUUGCUUCAAUAGUCUGACAAAUGUUGUUGCAGUUCAUUAGAAAUAUUAAAAAAUAGGGAUAUUAUCAUUUUUCCACCAAAGGUAUUCUGACACAUCAUGUCAGUACCACGGUUUAGUAAAACUAUCAAUUUACCACCAAACAUUUAAACUGUUAGCAUUUUCUCACCAUUCCGUUAAAACUCAGUUAAUAUGUAAUGAAAAUUUUCUAAAAGGUCAAUUUUACCCCUGGAGCAUAAAAGACCAUGUAAUUAACUUUUUAUGAAUUUUGUAAUUAAAUCAUCAUUUAUUGUUCUUCCUUCUUAAAGGACAAAAAUUACCCUUUAUGAAUUUUGUAAAAUUGACCGUGUGGUGUUAGGUAAUUCAUAAAUUGAUUUAAUUUAUUUAAUUUUUAAAGGGCAAAUUUAUUUAUUUAAUUUUUUGUGUAAAAUUAUUAUCAUCAUAUCAAAGAUUAAAUUGCUUCUUUUGCACUUUUUUUUUUUUUUGCCCUUUCAUAAAUUGAGUUUUAGUAGUAUAAUAAAUUGUCUUUAGCUCGUCAAUUUAAUAAAUAAAUUUGCCCUUUAAAAAUUAAAUCAAUUUAUGAAGUACCUAGCACCACACGGUCAAUUUUACAAAAUUUAUAAAGGGUAAUUUUUGUCCUUUAAGAAGGAAGAACAACAAAUGAUGAUUUAAUUAUAAAAUUCAUAAAAGGUUAAUUACAUAGUCUUUUACGCUCCAGGGUAAAAUUGACAUUUUAUAAAUUUUCUGUUACAUAUUAAUUGAGUUUUAACGGAAUGGUGGGAAAAUGCUAACAGUUUAAACGUUUGAUGGUAAAUUGAUAGUUUUACCAAACCAUGGUACUGACAUGAUGUGUCAGAAUACCUUUAGUGGGAAAAUGAUAAUAUCCCUAAAAAAUAAAAGGAAAAACUAAAAAGGAAGCCUUAACGGGCAACUAAAAUUGCUAAAAAGAAUAUGUUGGGUAUAAACGUAUAAGAUCAUGCACUAAUAAAUCAUGCUGCAUGAAUAUCUACUGCUAUGAGAAAAUAAGUGAUGACAAUCUUCAAAUUUCCUCUAGUUUCUGCUCUUAGAAUUUUCUAGUCAUACAAUUCUACCAAAACAAAUUCAUUCUGAUUUAAAUUGAUGUAAGAACUGUUCUCUCUACACUCUCUUAUUUGGCAGGGGGAAACUUGAAGAUAAGAUUGACAUUUAUGACUUUGGAUUAAUUUUACUAGAAAUUAUUGUUGGGAGGCCAUUAAAAUCCAGGAAAGAAGUGGAUCUUCUGAAAAAUCAGGUAAUGGUUCUGCUUGUUUACAUUACUUUCUUUCAAAAAUCUUUCAUAUCCAUUCUUCUUUCUCAGUCAUCAUGUGAAGAGUUCAGAAUGCCGUGGAAAUUUGAUCACUCUUUGGUGCACAGCUAACACAGUAACACCCUAGGAUUUGUGUUCUAAAAUUGCAUCUACUCGGGCUCUUCUAGAUUUAUGCCAACUCUACUGCUAAAACUUGAAUGUUUCUCUUCUUUGCAUCCUUAAUCUGGUGGCUUACAACUAUGUCAUGUUAACAUAGACCGAAACCUCUUCAUGAUUACUAGCUGGUUACUCAUGACAGCAUACCUUUGACUUUCUGUAGUUACAAGCUGUCAUUACUGCUGAUGAAUCAGCACGACGGAGCAUGGUUGAUCCAGCAGUUAACAAGGCAUGUUUGGAUGAGUCACUGAAGACAAUGAUGGAAGUCUGUGUCAGGUGUCUGCUUAAGAACCCAGCAGAGAGACCUUCAGUUGAGGACGUGCUAUGGAAUUUGCAGUUUGCUGCUCAAGUUCAGGAUGCAUGGCAUUCUCAGAGCAGUGAAGGGUCUCCAAUCUCACCUCCAUGGCCAUCACACCAACACCUUUCCUUUCAUUAGUUGCAACAUUCAGGUCCUUACACUGCUAAAUAUAAACCUGUUAACAAAUCUUUUGAUAUAAAUACACAUCUUAUUUCCUACAAACUCUCCAGUAAAUGUUGAGUUUCUGGUCUUCGAUCUUCGCUUUACAUUGUGCCUACUGAUUUGAAACAAAAAAUUUGAAAUGCAGGACAUGCUGUACGUGGCUUGAUGACAAUUGUGCCUGAACAUUUUCUAUCACUCCUACCUCUUUCCUUCCAUGUAAUUUUUGCGACAAACAACUCUAAAGUUACAGUUGAAGAUGACAUUUUUCAGAGAGACCAAAAGCUAGCUGUCUCUUGUUAUGCUAAACAUCUUGUUUCCAGUUCUCCAUGGUUGGAUCCUAGCACAUAUCCUGGAUUAUAGAUCAAUGGUUGCAGGUCCCGUAUCCCAGUCAAAUCAUCUAUGCAUUUGUUUAAUAUUUUUCCACAAUGAUGAUCAAAGGGGAUAUGUUGUCUGCGUCCAUUACUCUUUCUUUACUAUUGUAAGGUGCAGCUAAAAGUAAUGAUGUACAAGCUUUUUCUAUGUUAUUGUAUACACAUAUCUAAGCCCAAUGUUUUGGCAGGAGAUGGUUGUUCACUUUCGAACGUUUUGCUUCUUUCUGGGAUCCGGGUUGAAUCUCAAAUUUUUACAAUUUACAACCUCAAAAUCGUUUAGCCGUAGGUGUGGCCUGUCAAAAUUCAAGUUUCAAGAUCAGUCUCUAUUUGAAUAACAUUCAGUAAAACCCUACAGGUUUAGUAAGAUAUCGUCAACCUAACGGAAUUCAGAGAUCCAUCUUCAGCCAUUAAUAUUCCAUCCAACUUACAAUGCAAUGAGCGUAUCAGAUAUUGCCAGAACAAGAAGUCUCCAUUCACUAAUUAGAUUAAGACAGGAUUUUAUCCCAAGUCUUAAUCGCAUCUGUUCAAUUUUUCUAUGCAAUCGCUUUCCUAGCUCAUGGCCCCCAUAAUUCGUGGUCCUCUAUGUCAGUUGUCAUCCUCUUGAUCACCUUUAUAUUUCAUUUUUCCUCUUCAAAUAAUAAUGUUUCGAGGUUUCAUGUCCAUGGAUGUCGACAUGCUCAAGCUCGAGGAAACUCCAAAAGGGAGGUAAAAGGAAAAUGAGGUUGUAAUGGAGAAAGGGAAUUUGGUGAAAAAAUAAUCACCAUAAAACACAAUGCAAAAUAAGAGUUACUAAAAGACGGCCAUUCACAACAUUCAAAAAUCCCACAAAAUAAUUCCAGUGAGUAAGAGCUCCUCUGUUUUCCUCUUUUGAGAGUUGAAGAUUGUCUUUAAGACAUCAUUGUACUCCUAUACAAAUGCUACAAAUAAAUUACAGUUAGAUGAAAAAUGUUUCAAAAGUAUAAUUUAAAAAAAAAAUUGAGAAAUUAGCAAGAGGUUCAACCAGAGCUGUCUACAAAUCAUCCAAAGAAAUCCUCUAACUCUGAUAACAAUGCACCUGAAAUCACAUUUAUGAAGGACACCACUAUUGGACAAAUCCAGGGAACAUCGUCACUUCAGAACCAGAGUGCUUUUAUUAGGCUUUUAGUCUGCUGUCCAGCUCUGCUCCACUAUUUCCCGCACUCUUCGGUUGUACUCUCUCUUAUUCUCACUGAACAGCCGAGCUGCUUCAGAGUUUGCAGGAGAGUUUGGAUUUGGAUCACAAAGCAGAGACUGAUAAAGACAUAAGUAGCAUCGGGUUAGCAUCAUCUUGUACAUCCACUGACAACCCCCCAAGCUCAUUUAUUUUAGGAUCAACCAUAACUCACAUGAAAUCUCAUGCAAAAACCAAAUUGUCAAGUGCAAACAUAGCAUAUUUGAAAGCUAUAUUAUUAACCAAUUAUUUUAAAGAACACAUUAUAACCAAACUAUAAAUGUUUGAAAUAUUGAUGAAGAAGCUGAUGCAAGAUUCCAUCAUGUUGUGAGUGAGUGAGUGAGUCAGGGGGGGGGAGGGGAAGAAAAGUCAGUCACAACCUGGUAACAAGGAUAAUUUCAGUUUGAAUAAGCAUGUAUUCUGAUUACCAGCUACCAUCAACAAAGAUCAAAAAGAUAAAAGAAAAUGCCAAAAUCAUAACAAAUACUCCACAAUGCCAUCAUUGUUAUGAGAAAGACAAAUUUGAAAACUUUUCAUUUGCAUUUUAAGUCAAAAGACAAAUUUGAAAACUUUCCAUUGCAUUUUAAGUCAAGUUAAAUAUGGUAAGUACAAUAUCAUGUCUUCUCCCACCAAAAACAAAAAAAAAAAAAAGACAAUAUCAUGUCUUCUCCCACCAAAAACAUAUGGUAAGUACAAUAUCAUGUCUUCUCCCACCAAAAACAAAAAAAAAAAAAAGAUUCCAGAUUAAGAGUGCCAACAGUAAUACUACCUGGGAUACUUGUCAUUGUACGAUUUUGACCCCAUGCACAUGAGUUUAGGAAUGAGCAUGAAAUUUUACAGGUUCGUCUAUGUACAGUAAAAAGUGCUCUAUAUCACAGUUUUAUGUUAGCUUUCGCGUGGAUUAAAAAUUAGAUAACUAGAAUUCCAGCCUUGUUUUGUCUAGUCCAUAGAAACACUUGAAAACAGCCGCAUGUUUGAUACUAAAUCUCAAAAAUCAGUUUGUUUACAGCAUUUUUCAGAUGAGACAACUGACUAUAGAUUCCUCAAAUUUCUUUAAUGGAAAAUACUUAAAAUCAUUCAUAUCAAUGCAUCAAACAGUAAUAUUUAUGUGUCGUAUUUCAGACCAUAAACUUAAACAUCAAAUAAUAAAGUGACCAGGUCAUAAAAUCACAGAUAAAAGAGAAGCAAGAUAUGUUGGGAAGAAAACAAAAGAGAAACACCGUGCAAUUAGUCUUUCUUAUGCACAUAAAAGAUACAAAGGAACACAGUAGGCAAACCAAAUAAUAUGAAGUCAUCAUUUGAUGAAACAGGGACUUUGGUCUAUGCAAACCAGCAGAUUUUCUAUUUCGAAGAUUGUCUUAAAACAUGGAAGAUUCACAUUUAUGUUCAGUUAAUAUAUGAAAACAUAUAUAAUGAUGCAAAAAAAAUGCCUUCACAGUGCAGGCUUGUUGACCUCAUAAGCACUUGGAAUUGCGUCAGGGUAAGACAAUCUGAAAAGCUUUUAGCCACUAAUAUCAUGGGUGUGAUUCAGUUGCCAAUUCAAACUAUCUCCACAUUUCAAUUAAGUAGAAGGACUUAUAAAAAGAAGAAAGGGGGAAACAGGAAACAUAACAAAAAUACGGAAAAGGGGGAAACAGGAAACAUUUAACAGGGGAAACCUUAAAAAAUGUGUUAGUCAUAUUGUCUAUUCUCUUUUCUUUUUCCCCCUUCAAAGCAAAAAAGCAAUUUUCUUUCAAUAACCAACAUUAAUUAUAAGAAAUUACGCAGGCAGAAAACAUCCAAUAUCAAUCAAUGAUUAACAAGAAAUAGAAUCCUUUUCCCACAAUCAAGAAAAAUGAAAGAAAAGUCAAACAAAUUUGCACCUGAAUAGAGGUCAGUAUAGCUGCAACAUCAUAUAUAGGACUCCACUGAUUUUGUAAAAUAUCCAAACAAAUACUUCCAUCUGCAUAGACUGAACAAACCAUAGGCACAAGUCAGAAAUCAGAGUCAAUCAUUACGAAGACCAUGUGCAAUAUAAUAACAAGCAACAUAUCAUUUAUCACCAAAAUUCAAAGAGAACAAUAACAAGAAAAAUAUAAUUAAUAAAUAAAUAGAAAAAUAAUUUACAAAUAACAUACUAUUUGGAUGAAACAUCCGUGAGACGAAACGAACUGUUGGGGGUUUAUUUGGAUAAUCCUCUGUGAAUUGUAGAGUCAACUUGAACGUACCUGAAGAAAUUCAAGAAAAUGCUUAGAUGACAAAUGCAAAAACCUAAAUAUUUCAACUGUAAAGACAAAGGAUAAGGCAUAAGCAAUCAUUUUUGUUAAGUAGGAGUAUUUAGGCCUCAAAUGCGACUGAAAGCAAGGAUAGCACGAUAUAGAAACAGAGGUAUAAUUAUUUACUAAAGCAGAUUGUCCACCAUCAUGCAGCAAUCGAUCUAAAGCCACUUCGGCAAUUAAAAUUCCAUCAAAAACACCAUUUACAUAAUUGGAACGUGAAAGCAUCGUUUACAAGAUAGCUCAUUCUGCUCAUAUUGACAGUCCUUCUGAUCAAAGAUGAUGACAAAAAAAAAAGAAAAAAAAAAGAAAAAAAAAAGAGGUGAUCGAAUUUUCUCAACAUCAAACCGGAAAAAAAAAAAAAAAAAACCACUAACACAAACAUGGACAAGGUAAUUAAAUUGUAACAAUAUAUACAAGUUAUGACCCACAACAGCAAAUACAACACAAGCCAAGAACCAUAGGAAUUCAACCAUGUUCUAUACACAGAAUCAGCUUAGUUACAGGCAAAAUAAAAAAGUCAGCUCAUCAAAGCUUUCGCUUAAUUAUACAUUAAAACUAAUGAACGAAACCUAACAAGCAAAAGCUGAGUGAAAAAUGAAAUCAAAAGCAUAAAAUUAUUUCUAUAAAGUAAAAAGACAAUAAAAUUCCCACCUCCGUCCCAGGGAGUAUCAUCGGGCCUGCAAAACACCACGAAAAAGGAAAAAAAAAUCAAAACAAAAACCAAAAGAAGUACAAAAAAGAAGAAAAGGAAGAAAAGAAAGUGUACCCAAAAAUAACGGCGUUCCACAACAUGAUGUUGUUGUCUUGAGGGGCACCGCUGAUGCCGGCGGGUGGAUCUUGCUGGAGGCGCUUGAAGUCCCGCAUCAGCCGCUUCUUCGCCGGUGUUGACAUGGCGACGUCGUGUUCUACAGAGAGAGAACGAGAGAGGAAAGUUCUAGAGAAAAGAGGGAUCUGAGCAAAAAUCUAAUCUAAAGAAGACUUUGUUGCUGCAUACGAGUUGCCAUGACAUAGCAAUAGGCCCAGGCAAUAGGCAUAACCUGUGCAACACCGCCAGCUAGUUUUGGUUUGUGAAUUGUGAUUGUGAUUUGUGAGUCCCACGCACACACUCUAGUCACAGCCGCCUUCUACUUUUUAUUUAUUACGCGUCGUGGGAUCUGAGCUGUUCAAACUUCAAAUUGUUUUAUGUCAUUUACCGCAAGGGCCACGUAAUUUUGUUAUGUAUUUCGAAAGAAAUUAACCGCCGCCACCACCACCAAAUUACUUUAUUUUUUAAGAAUCAUCCAUUUUACCAGUAAUUGUUUGUAAUGCUGAAAUAUCUUGCAUGGGAGUGGAGAGGAUAAAGUAUCUGAAACUCUUCAAUUUAAUUUAAUCCGAAUUGGGGUUCGCAUCCAGUUCGGAAACUUUUCUCACCCUUCACUGGCCCCAACGUUCAGAUUCUUAUGCUACUAAAUUUUAAUUCUAUAAUAUUAUCCCUCUCCUCUCGACGACCCAUAAAUAAAUACACACCUUAUUUUGAAAAUUUCUUUCCCAUAUUAACCCUCGAAUAAAUGCAGAAUUUUCUGGUCUUUCAUUUUGGCUUGACAUCAUCUAUAAUGGUCUGAUGGGGGCAGUUACAGUACAUGCAUGUAUCUCAUACAUGCAUGCAUAAAAAAUUAUCGUUAGAUUAAAUGGAGUAGAUCCAAUGGUUGAGAUUCAUCUUAGUGUUAAAUAAUAAAAAAAUUUACAAGAAAUGAAAACAUGUAAAACUGGCAACUUGAAACUUUGAACUAAUAAAUAUGAAACAACUACCAUUAAUAUUGAUAUUAUAACCAUUAAACUUGAAACCAAAAUAACUUGAAACUUUAGACAACGAAUAUGAAACUUGUGAUCAUAAACUUGCAAUCUCAAGAAUCAUACAAAUCAUGUACCAAUAAUAUAUGAAACAACUACGAUUAAUCUUGAUAUUAUGACCAUUAAACUUAAAAAUAAAGUAACUUGAAACAUAGGGUAAUGAACAUAAAACUUGAGAUCCUAAAAAUCAUACACAUCAUGAACCAAUAAAUAUAAAACAACUACCAUUAAUAUUGAUAUUAGGAUCAUUAAACUUGAAACUAAAGUAACUUGAAGCUGAGAGCAAUGAACAUGAAAUUUGGGAUCAUUAACUUACAACCCUGAAAAUCAUGCAAUUAAUAGACCAAUAAACAUGAAACACCUACCGUUAACUUGAUAUUGUGACCAUUAAACUUGAAACCACAAAGAAUUUGAAACUGAGGGCAAUACACAUGAAACUCAAGAUCAUAAACUUGCAACCCUGAAAAUCAUGUAAUUAAUGAGUCAAUAAACAUGAAACACUAUUAUUAACUUGAUAUUAGAACCAUUAAAUUUGAAACUAAAAAAACUUGAAACUGAGGGUAAUGAACAUUAAAUUAGGGAUCAUUAACUUGCAACACUGACAAUUAUACAAUUAAAUAGACCAAUAAAUAUGAAACAUCUAUUGUUAACUUGUUAUGGGAACCAUUAAACUUGAAAUCGAGGGUAAUAAAUAUAAAAUUUGAGAUCAUUAACAACCCUAAGAAUCAUAUAAUUAAUGAAUUAAUAAAUACAAAACACCUACCGUUAACAUGAUACCGAUAUUAUUAAACUUAAAACUAUUUUUUUAUUGUUAUCUGACCUAUAUUAGUAAAAUAAGUAUUAUUUUAUUUCAUAAUUUUUUAAUCGUUUAAGGAGCUCCAAGUUCUUUUUCUUUUUUUCCAACUGUUUGGCUGCCAAGUGGCAAUGUUUUUUAAUUUUUUUAUUCCUUGCAUGUAUGUAUGCAUGUAUUAAUUUAUUAUAGCACAGGCCUGAUUGCAAGCAAAAACACUUUAGGGUCCUACGCUCAUCCUGUUCGCUCAUAGCCUAGCAACAACCGAUUCGCGCCUCAAAACAUUUUCUAUCACUCUUCUCUUGCCCCGCCUACGUAAAUUUGGUGACAAUCAUCACCACAAGGUUAACAGUUGAAGAGGAGAGACAAAAAGCUAGCUGCCUAACUGCCAAUGCCUGUUAAGUUACGUCCUGCAUCCCAUCAAGUAUGGUCCUGUAGCCACCUCCUAACUUAAUUGCCUCCCUUCAUCCCUAUUUCAGAGAAUAUAAUUACAAGGUUUCACCUCCAGCAAUGCGGACAUUGUCAAGCUCAAGCAUAUUGAAAAACAUAGAUAAAAAAGAGGGAGGUUAUAAUACAUUCCAACAGUAAUGGAGAAAAAAGGGCUUCAACAGAAUAAGCAAUCACCAUAAAAAUACAAUGCAAGAUGGCCGUUCACAACAUCCAAAAAUCCGACUAAAUAAUUCCAAUGAAAAAGAGCUCCUCUGAGGUUGUCUUAAGACAUACAUCACUGAUUCACUGCAGCAAUAAUACCCCUAUACAAAUGCUACAGAUAAAUUACAGUUACAUGAAAGAUGUUGAAAAGAAGAAGAUGGAAAUGUUGAGAAAUUAACAAGAGGUUCAACCAGAGCUAUCUGGGAGGAAGAAUCUGAAGAGAUUCUCUAAUAACAAUGCACCUGAAAUCAGAUUGAUUACGGAGUACACGACUAUUGAACAAACCAGCCACACCAGCCCCAGUUUUCAUCUUUUAUUUCUACAGCAUAACCGGCCGGUGCUUUCAUUGGACUUUUAGUCGGCUGUCCAGCUUUGCUCCACUAUUUCACGCACUCUUCGGUUGUACUCUCGUUUAUUCUCACUAAACAGCCGAGCUGCUUCAGAAUUUGCAGGGGAGUUUGGAUUUGGAUCACAAAGCAGCGACUGGUAAAGACAUAUAAGUAGUGUCAUGUUAGAAUCAUAAAUACAACCACUGCGAAUCUCACAAGCUCAUUUGCUUCAAGAUCAACCAUCAUUUGUACUAAAUAUCAUUUGAAAACCAAGUUGGCAAGUGCAUACAUAACAUAUUUGAAAGCAAUUGACUAACCAAUUACACCAAAAAAAAUAAAGUUUUGAAAUAAUGGGGAAGAUAAUACAGGGGGCCAACAUAUGGUGACAGAAUCAAUGAAACCUGGUACUAAGGAACAUUUCAAUUUAAUGAAAACAUGUGUACUAACUAACAUCGACAUAGCAAAACAGGAUAAAAUAUCCUGAAAACCAAACAAUGCAAUCCUUGUCAUCACAAGGCAAAUAUGGAAAUGUUCCAAUGCAUUUUAGUAAGUAUUAGAUAUGGUACGUACAACAACACUUUUUUGAAAAUUGGAUAUUGAUGAUCGUCUCAAACAUGGAAGAUUCACUUUUUAACUUUGUUUAAUAUAACAAAAAAAUAUACAUAAUGAUGCAAAAAGGCCUUCACGGUACAGAAAUGUAAGCCGACAGAUGCUUUCGGACGUCAUGAGCACUAAGAUCUUAUUAGGUUCAGAUACUCUUAGAUAUAUUUAGCCAAUAAUAUCAUAUGUUUGACUUAGUUGAGUAUACCAUUCAAACUAUCUCCUCAUUUCCUUAAAAUGGGAGGAAUUACAUAUACACGAAACAAAAGGACAAAACAAGUUACCAGUCAUAUCAUUAGUAUCUUCUUUCUUUGAUGCAAAAGCACAAUUUUCUUGCAAGUUCUCGAUAAUCAGGCAUUAAUUAUAAGAAAUUAAGCACAGUGAAAACAUCCAAUUUCAAUCAAUGAUAAACAAGAAACAGAAUCUCUUUCCAAUAGACAGGAAUGAACAAGAAAAGUCAAAACGAAGUUUCACCUGGAUGGAGGUCAGUAUAGCUGCAACAUCAUAUAUAGGACUCCACUGAUUUUGUAAUAUAUCCAGGCAGAUACUUCCAUCCGCAUAGACUGAUCAAACCAUAGGUAAAGAGUCAGAAAUCAAAAUCAAUCGUUAUCAAGACCAUGAGCCAUAGAAUCCCUAUAGCACAAUAAUCAGCAAAAUUCAAAGAAAGAAUAAUAGCAAGAAACUUAUCAUCAAUAAAACAUUAGCAACAAAAUUUAAAAAUAAGAUAAUGACGUACUAUUUGGAUGAAACAUCCGUGAAACGAACCGAACUGUUGGAGGUUUAUUCGGAUAAUCCUCUGUAAACUGAAGAGUCAACUUGAACGUACCUAGAAAAGUUCAAGAAAUAGCUAAAACAACACUUGCAAAAACCUAUAACUUUCAAGAAAAAGAGACGCUAUAACGAAAUAUGAUAAGUCAUAGGCAAUCAUGUUACUUAAUGGUGGUUCAGGUUUAGUGGGAGUCUUUAUUUUAAGCCUACAAUGUAAAUCAAAGCAAGUAUACCAUAACAUACAACCUAACAUAUAAUUAAUUACAGAAGCAGAUUGUCCACGAUUAGGUAACAAAAAUUCAACAAAAAUAAGCUACAAUCAAAUAUUAGGCAAAACCAAUAAUUCAGCUUAACAAAAGUUUUACAUUUUUACAGCUGAAUGAAAGUAAAAUUAAAAGCAUAAAUAUUUUGUAAAAAUCAAAGAUAAUCAAAUACCCACCUCCGUCCCAGGGAGUAUCAUCAGGCCUACGAAACAUCACCAAAUGAAAAACAAACAAGAAAAUCAAAACAUAAACCAGAAAAGUUACAAGACAAAAACAAAGGUUAAUUAAAACAAAUACCCAAAAAUAACGGCGUUCCAUAACAUGAUGUUGUUGUCUUGAGGGGCCCCGCUGAUUCCGGCGGGUGGAUCUUGCUGGAGGCGCUUGAAGUCCCGCAUCAGCCGCUUCUUCGCCGGUGUUGACAUAGUGGCGUUUUAGAGAGCAAAACUGAGAAGCGGCUUUUGCAGAGGGGGGGAGGGGGGAGAAUGAGAGAAGAAGCUUCUAGAGAAAGAAGAGAUCUGGGCAAAACCUUGUGAGGAUGCUGCAUGCGAGUUAACAUGACAAUAAUGGGCCGGGGCCGGGGUUGGCUGAGCAGUGAGCACCAAUUUUUCUUUUUUUAAUUUUAAUGUUUAACGAUAAAGUUACAAAUUUUUCCACGCAUUUUUAUUUUAUUUUAUAUUGAUAUUAAUUCAAUUCGUUUUAGUCAGUGGGCUGAGGAAAAAUAUACAUAUGGUCCCCACGCCACACACAAGUAGGACACCUAUGUAUUUAUCGAAAUUGACCUUGGCCAAAACUCCUUUCCAAAAUCGUCUUGCAUCCUUCACAUGUUCUCUCAUUGGAAAGCAUGUAGUGCAGCAAUAUGUCAAACACCAGUACACCACCCGCAAAAUUCUACAGAGAGUAUGAGUAUAUUGAGGAAUUUGAUAUUAUGGAUGCAUUUUUGUCCAUAUUUGCAAAUUCCUCAUUUUCUCAAAUGCUUAGCUCAGCACUCCUGUCAUUUAAUGAAAACCAUCAGGGACGAUAAUGAUAUUCGCAAACCCGUAAAUCCAUUCACACCAGUCCGUUGCGGGUUGUGAGCGGGUUUGAUAUUAGGAAUUGAAAUUCGCACUAUGUUGUAGGUGGAUUUAGUAUUAGGUACAUAUCCGAUGGAUACUCACAUGAAUAUCUGCCAAAUCUAUAAUUUUUUUAAUACAAUUUUAAUUAAAAAAAUAAUUAAAUCUAAAAGUAUAUAAAUAAAAUAAAUAUAGAGUGCAAACAUGUCAUGUGUGGUGUGUGCAAGUUGCAACUCAUAACCUAACCUAAAGGAAACCUAACUUAAAGGAAACCCAAACUAUUUCUUUUUCAUCUGUGAGCAGCAGUCGCAAAAUCUAACCUUCUAAACUAUUUCUCUUUCACCCAUGGGCAGUAGCCGCACACCCAUUUUCCUUUCACCCGUGAGCCGCAGCCGCACACCCAUGAAAUUUUCAUGGCAUUUGUGGUUAUUUUUUAUGGAUUUAUAUAUUUCAUACUUAAAAUCGAGAAUUUGUAUAGAAUUGAUGUUGAAAUUUUAAUUUUAUAUUUACAUUGAUUAAAUUUAAAAUUCAGUAUAUUAUGUGGAAUUUUAGCUUAAUAAUAUAAAUUUACAUAUUGAUUUUUAUUAAUAUAACCUUUCGACAGUCAAAUCAGUCACCAGACUUUUGGAAAUAUAAAUUUAGAAGGAGAAAGAUUAGAGAGAGAAAGUUAGACUUUUUACUUUUUGAGUCUAUUUUUUUUCUUACAUUUUAGUGAGAAUGAAAGACAUAUUUGUCGACCAAACGGAUUUGACUUAAGUCUUAGCUAUUUUGAUGACAAAUGUCAUUGCUCUUGUGACAUUUGACAACACUUAUUUUUUAGUACGCAUGUUGAUUGACAUAUGGAUAUACAAACUUAUCUAUAGAUUAAAGGAAAAAAACGUUUUAUCUUUAGGUUAUUUUUACUAAGACCUUGAGAUUAUAGGAGCCUUUAAAUUUAAGAGGUUUGUCCUACGAUAAGAGCCUAGAACCUCAACAUCUUUUGGGCUUUGAAGUCUUAUUACUUAGGAGAAUCAUUCUAGGUGAUUUGUCCACCACUUCGUGGGCUUAAUUGAGAGAAAAUUUAUUAAAUGGGCCUUAUUGAGAUUAAAUUUCUUUGGGCUUUAUUAAAUCUAUUUUAUUUUUGAUCCAACACCAACUUGGAUUUAAGAUUCAACACUGCCUCCUUUAGUUGGAAAGAGUUCAACUUCCCUUCUUAGUUUGUAUAAAAUGUAAAUUUCUUCAUAAUUUAUUAUAUCUAAAUUCUUCACCUUUUGGGGUCAAUUUAGCUACGCUAAUCAGAGUUGACCCCGAUAAAUUUGUAAUCUUUUUUGUUUCAUUGUAUGUUGUUGUGUGUUUAGUCCUCUAUCUAAUACAUCCGUAUCACAAUUGCUUGUACGCUAAUUUCCUACUGUGUAAUUUUUUUAUGUUAUUUCGUUAAUUUCCUCCAACAUGACUCGGGGACAGGCUGCUGCGAGUGGGACUGUGAGGUCUUGCAAUCCAAUUAAUUGGGCAUAGUGAUGGACCAGGACUGUAUAUAAAAGAACUGCUUAAAGAUCGUACAAUCUAGCAUCGGCAAGGCCAGUGCUUUCUAUGUAUUUGAUUACUAUGACUCCAUAAAAAGUAUAUAACAUGUACUGUAAAAUCACUUAAACUGUUAAUUAUUAAGAGAAAACUAAAGAAAAAUCAAGAAACCCUGAACAUAAAACGGAAGUUAAUUUGUUCUCCUGUGAUUGUGAAGUAUCUGAUGAUGAUCAUUAGUAAACAUGAUUGGAAUCUGACUCUCUUCUUCAUCAUCUUCGUCGUCGUGGGCAGGCCUUGAAAGUUCAUGAAGAGGCUCCAUGCUGUGGCAAGAUAGCACUGUCUCAGCUGCAAAGUCGAAGUUGGAAGUAAGGUUGCUCAUGUUGAUGAAGUUUGUGGAGGCCGAGGAGCUGUUUGAGUAAGCAGGCUGCUGUUGCUGUUGAUGCAGUAAUGCAACAUGUUGCGGCUGUUGCGGUUGCUGUGAUGUUUGGAGAGCGUUUGCCAUCGCAAACCUGCUGUUUAAAAGUUGAUUUUGCACCAUUGUUAGCUCUGCUUGCAGGGAGGCCACCUGCAAUUUAAUAUUUAUAAUAUCAAUUGCUUUUCUUAUUGCAGUUUUUGGUUCAAUGGGGGCUAGAAGAAUAAAUUACAGACUUUAAAGGGCUAAAAUAAAAUAAAAGAAAAUCUGUAAUGCUAAAAUGUAAAAUGUUCAAAGUAAUUGAUCAAAUUUCAAUUAACGCCCUUAUUUUUACCAGAAUUUUGUCACCUUUUAUGUGACAUUUCUCAUGAAGCGGUACGCGCAAGAAUUGGUAGUUAAUCUACUCUUAUAUAAAUAAAAUAAUAGUAAUAAUUAAUUAAUUUUUGUAACUGAAACGAGCAUUUGGCUUAGAAACAAAAUUAAUUACUAUCGGCAAAUUAAAACCUGUUGCUGCAGAGCAAGAAUGGUGGAAACACAACCGUAAACCGGGUCGGAGAGGCGGGCCUGGGCCUCGUAAGAUAUAGUAACCACAGCAUCUUGCCGCCGGUUCACCGGAAUGUGUAGCAAGAGCUUGGAUACAUUGCUAGCACCAAAGACUUUGUGCACGGCAGCGAACCGGGCGGCUCCCUGGUCUGAGCCAAAGUGGGGUGCAAAGAUGCACCCACUAACGCACUUUCUCCUCAAGAACUUGCAUGCCCCACAUGGAGCUGCUGGUGCAGGUGCUGACAUGGGCUCGGCCUCUGGCGAGGGCGCGGUGGUGGCACGUUUUCCAGCGCCCCUUCGACGGGGUUCGGAUAUGGGGUCGGGCUGUUGCUCAGCCAUUUUCUGGGGUGGGUUAGGCUCAGAGUUUGUUCAAAACGGAAAGGUGGUGGAGUUG